rnacentral:lncRNA from 1 species
UUUUUUUUUUUUUUUUUUGUGUUUUUUUUCUUUUUCUAAAACAAACCUGCAAAAUGAAAAAAACAUACAUUAAAAUGCAAAAAAUAAAUAAUUUAUUAAAUUCAAAAAUUCAAAAAAAUAUUAAAAAUUGACAAAAAUUUGGUGUCUACACUCAUAAAACUUAUCAAAAUUUUUAAAUUAUACACUCCAAAAUAUUCAAAAAUUUACACACUUUAAAAAAUUUUCUUACAACAUCUACAGUAAAUUACAAUAAAAUUUUAGACAAACACCCGAAAAACUCAUUUACCAAACGAGACCUAAUCCUUUCCGUGGUAGUUGGUUUGAAGUGGACAUUCGAUUGGACCGAAUUUGGAUUGUGUUUAUCGCUGCCGCAGCUUGUGGGGCCCGCCUUCUUAUAAUAAGAAGCUCAGGUGGAUUGGGGCUUUAGGGUUUUAGAUUUAUAGCCGACGUCCUUUAAAAUAAAUAAAUAAAAGAUUUAUAGCCGACAGAGAUGGAACGUCAUAGGAGCGCUGGUGCUGGUUGGGUGCAUUAUAGUUUAGGUUAAUUGCAUUUACCUCCCCGGAGGUUUGGCCAAAUUUCAAGUUAGUCCUUUAGGUUUAACCAAACUACGAAAAACUCCCUGAAAUUCAAAACUUCAUAUUAAAAAAUGCGCCCUGCUAUAGCAAAUUAACGUUGACCUCCUAAGUUUGGCGAAUUUCUCGAAAUAAUAUUGAUAUACGAAAAAAUCACAAAUAUAGUAUUUUGUGGGAUUUGUUUCUGAAAUAAGGGUCGUCGUACCUGAGAAAAUCGGCGCACAAAAAUUCUAAUUUAUUUUUGAAUUUUUUUUCAACGGCUUAAAAAAUUUUUAAGUUAAGAUUUUGGGUUGAAUAUUUUAAUUUAGUCGCAAAUCUAAUAUGAGGCAAAAGCUAUGUACCAUUGAUUAAAAUGUUGAUCAACAGUCGUGAUUUGAAAAAAAAAUUUAAUUCUAUUGCCCCAAACAAAAUUUGCGGCAAACGAAAUUUAUUUGAAAAUUUUUUUUUUAGAAGUCGCACAUUAAAUUUGCAGCGAAAGCGGAUGUUUGAAAUUUUUUUGAGAAACCACAGAUCCCAUGUGCGGCAAAGCUUUGGACAACAUGACUUGAUGGCAUUAUUUUUCUUCGCUACAAAUUAUUUUUUUUAAAUAUAGCAGGUGAUCAACGGUCAUGAUUUGAUGGGCAAUUUUUUUUUCCUUUGUCGCAAAUUUAAUUUGCGGCGAUAUAUUUUUUUAAAUGCCGCAGCUCUUGAUCAUUGAUCAUGGUGAUCAACGGUCAUGAUUUGAUGGGCAAUAUUUUUUUUCCUUCACUGCAAAUUAAAUUUGCGGUGACAGAAAUUGUUUUUUAUUACUUGCAAGACAUAGAGGGUACGAGUCAUUUGGGGCAACCCCACACUUACUUGUUUAUACUCCUGGCUGUAUAAAGCUUCGUACGCGAUCACAAGCUGCACUGUUGCCCUAUAUAUACUUCUACAGGUAUGAAUGGAACAACUUUGGGAUGCUUGAGCAUCCUUAUUUCAUUUGAAUGCAUAAUUAAUAUGACGUUCACAAUGCUUAUAUUUUUAACAGUUAUGAGAGUGGGAAAUGAUGCCCAGGAUUCGCCUGACUAUGGUGGUUCCAGCUGCAUAGGGAAAUGAUUUUCCCAGAGGCGGUCGUUGGGCAAGUGACUGUACGAUAAAAUAUUAGGGUUUUAGUGUUAGGAUUUAGGAAUUAGUGUUUUAGGGUUAAUGGGCAAAAUCGACGUGAUUUCAUUUUUUUAAAUAAAAAAAUUUAAAGCUUCGUCACACAUUUGAGGUGCAGCGAACCCUUUAACAAAAAUAAUUUUGCUUUGCCGCACCUUUUUUAAAAAUAUAUAUAUAUAUCGCUUCAUUUACUUUCUAGGGAGGAAAAAAAAUGAAAUUUAAAUCAAUUUUUUUUUUUUGAAAACCUCCUUUACCAUUUGUAACGACCCUUAAAUUAGAACUCAAUCCCAAACUACCCCACUUUUGUGAUAUUUUCUUCUUUUAACAUUAUUCUUAGAAAUUCGCCCCUAAGUUUGAACGAUCUCAACACAAAGUUAUGACAGAUUCCCCAAAAUGCCCAUCAAAGCUCUUCCUCGUCUUCUUCCCCCUUCCCUACUCCCUAGCAAACAACACCAAUACCACGAGGUCCACGACUAAUAGCAAAGAUUUCAGCACUAUUUUUUUUUGGGGGGCAAAGAAGCACAAAAGCUGCAAGUAUUGGUAUUAAGCUUCAAAGUUUUAAUCUUUCAUGGAACUUAAGAUAACGAAAACACUAACAAUUAACCCCACAAAACAAGUUGAAUGUACAUGAGCUUUUAUUCUAAUGUUUAGGUGAUAAUUUUAAUGAAAUUCUACCAAAUUUGGAUAGAGUUUUGAACAAAUAAAAAGUAGGGGAAAAAACCGAGUGGAAAGAAAGAAAAGCCAUUGAAAAAGAUGAUGACCAGUCACUUUGGUAGCUUUUUUCAAAUUUUUUUAUCAUUUUCUUUCACCUUUUUCCUUUUCAUUUUCUUGGUAUUAAAUAGUUUGUUUAUAGUCCUGUUUUCUUUCUUCAGUGCUUGUUUCAAGACAUUCAAUUUUCCAUUGGUUUUAACAUUUAUUUUUUGUUUUUAUUUUUCUCAAUUAGUUUUACUCCAUUUAUCUUUCUUACUAAUUUUGGAGUUUUGUCUCAUUCCUUGACUUAAUUUUCAUUUUUUGUUCUAUAAAUGCUCUUUUAUUGAGUUUUUCAUUUUAUUUGUGGAAUCUUUGAACUAUGCCUUUUUGUCAUUUCUCAAUACACACUAACGGAGUUAAACAACAGUCAAUGACAAAGGGGUGAUUGUAAUUUGGCUAAAUCAUAAGGCUUGUUACGUAAUAUGGACAAACCUCGAGGGAGGUAGAUGUAAUAGGCAGCAAAAAACAAUAAUUUAUUUUUUUCCCCAAACUGGAUAACACACAAAAAUGCCAGUAUUAGUAUCACGGAGCAUUAUAAAUAUCACUUACUUUCCCUUAUUUUAAAACUUUUGUAACAUUGUUUAUUAACCCAACUCAGAAUAUUAAUAUUGAAAAACUAUUUUUGUUUGGAAGUGCAUAGAUAAUUUUUGUUUCAAAAUUGCCCUUUGUUGUGCUAAUGCUCAUGGCAAAUCAAUUUAAAAUCCCUCAACAUUUGAAAAUUUACCAAUUUACUUCCUUAGUGGAAAAUUUUAAGUUUAUAUCGAGGUUAGGAAAUCGUUUUACGUACUUUUAUUUUAUAAUUUGGACAAGAUAUAUUAAAAAUUUUGCAACUUAUGAAUAAUUUACAAAACACAUAAAAAUCAUUCAUUAAUUUUUUUGGGGACAUCUUGAGAGCAUUUUCAUACCUACUGUUUUAGCCAGGCGAAUUUCUCGAAAUAAUGCGAAAAGGAGAAAAUAUCACAAAAGUAAUGCUGGGCUCGCUUCUAUAUUAAACUUUUUUCAUUUUCACAAAAAGUUUUGCCACAAAUGGAGAAUGAGGCCAAGAAAAAAAAAAAUUUUAAUUGCCGCAAAUUACAUUUGCGGUGAAGCAUGAAAUAUUUUUAAAUUUUUUUUUUUGGAGAAACCGCCAUUUGUGUCCAUUUGUCUUAUCAUCAGUUGUAGUUUUCCCAUGCUCUGGUUGCAUUCAACAUGAAGAUAAUUAUAUAAAUAUUCAUGUAUUUUUUUUUGUCAGCAACGAAGGGGAAGCCUAAAGAAGCUGUGGUAGAGUCUGGUUGCAUUCAACAUGAAGAUAAUUAUAUAAAUAUUCAUGUAUUAUUUUUUUUUGUCAGCAACGAUACAUUUGUAUAACCUAUUCUAUCCUAAUCUAUAGGGGAGGGGGAGCCCAAAGAAGCUGUGGUAGGGGCUAAUGAGUAUGCAGACCCAACUAGACCAAGAGAGUGCUAUGACACAACCCUUAAAUUUUUUUUCGCUGCAGGUGAGGUUUGAACCCUCACCUACAGCCCAAGGAGGGACUUAAGUCCCUCCCUGGUGGCCGCUAAGCCAUUGGCCCAGUGGUUCAUGUAUUAUUUCCCAUGAUGCUGUUCAUGACAUGUUAAAUUUAAGCAGAAGCGUUUGAGUCCUCUGCUAGUUGCAAUUAUUACUUUUUGCUGGAAUUGAUCAUUUUGUACGAGACAAAGUGGUGGCAUCUAGCCUUAUAAUAGAGGAUUUUGCAGCUGAUGGUCUUUCAUUACACCAUAAUUGCUGACCUCAUACAGUUGCAAAAUCUAUGUAAUAUGUAUCUCGAUCCCGUUAAUCUUGUGCAAUGUGCUCAUCUUGGACUGAUAGUAAUGCAAAAAAAGGCUUUCGAGACAUUACAAUACUUGAAUCAAGAAAUGCGGAUGGCAGUUAGCCCAUUCGACCGUCAAGACGUUGGCCCAUCUAGCUCUCGUACUGUUCCUUUCGAGAUGUCUGUUGUGGAUUUAGCUAAGCAGAUACAUGAUAGAAAACAUGAAGGUAAGUGUUGCAGAUGGGCAUAUCCACACAUGUUGUUCAUGUAUUCGACAUAUUUAAUUUUCAAUAUGUCUUGCCUGGCAUUAAAACCAAAAAUUUCGAAAAUGGAUGAUUUGGGCAUAUUUAAUUUUCAAUUCAUUUUAUAUUUUCAACCAAAAGGAAGCUGAAAGCAUUUUUAUAGGAUGAUUAAUCACCAUUUAUGAAAUUAACACAAUUUUUGUAGUUAAAUUAAAGGGAUAAUUUCACAAACCUCCCCUGAGGUAUUUAAUAAUUACAGAGAGCUCCCCUCAAAUUUUAAAAAUUACAUAUACCUCCCCGACUUUUACUGUUUAUAUAACAAUAUAAGUCCAACAAGGAAGAUUUUCUCUUAAAAAUCCUAAAUUACCCUUUUGUACAAAACUAAGAAAGCAAAAUAUAGUAUGUUUAAUCAUUUUCUUCCAUACUUUGCACAAAUCAACAAACCUAAUCUCUAACAACCAUCCAUGUAUAAGUUUCAAAUCCAAAUAACCAUAAAAAAGAUUCCAAGUUGCAUAUAUAGCAUCAACUUACUACGUAAAACAAAAAAAAACACUCAUACACACACACACACAUACCUCCCAUUAUCUCAAUGCUCAAAUACCUUUUCAAGACAAGCUAAUCUGACCUAGAACGACCAUUACAACCUUCUUAUGGUCUUAAAAAUAUUAAUAUUUUAAAAGUAAAUAAUAAAUUCUACCUCGACAAUAAAAUCAUAACAAAAAAUUUCCAAUCUAAUGAAAGAAAUCCUUAUGUAAUUAUUGACAUUUUAUAAAAAAAUUUCAUGGCAACAAACAAAAUAUGACAAAUUUCACAUCUCUAGUUCUUCUUCCUAUUUCAAUCAUAAAUUUCAUUAUUUAUUUCUCUAUCAUUGCGAAAAUAGACAACAGACAGAAAAAUAUUUUGUUUUUGGAUUUUGUAAAUCUAUUGCCUUAAAUUUAGAAUUGUCUACCAAGUAGAGGGUAUUAUAGGUAUUUUAUUACGUCAAGGGAGGUAAGUGUAAUUUCUUAAACUUAAGGGGAGCCGAGUGAAAUUGUAAGAAACCUCAAGGGAGGUUUAUGAAAUUAUCCCUAAAUUAAAUUUGUAGCUUUUAGGGUUAGGAUUUACGUAUUAGGGUUUUAUUGUGAGGGUUUAGGGAUUAUUGUUUUAGGGUUGGGGUUUGCAGGCAAAAUUAUCACAAUUCCAUAUUUAAAAAAAAUUUUGAUUCGCCGCCCAUUUGAGGUGCGGCGAAUCCUUUAAAAAAAAUUAUUUGAUUCACCGCCCUUUUGAGGUGUGGCGAAACCUUGUAAAAUAUAUUUUUAAAAAAUCCAGUCCUUUUACUUCCUUGGCGACGAAAAAAAUGAAAUUGAAAUCAAUUUUUUUUUUGAAACCUAGUUUUCCAUUUGCAACGAACCUUAAAAACAAAAUCAAUCCUACUUUUGUGAUAUUUUCUUAUUUUAAAAUUAUUCUAAGAAAUUCGCCGGCAUAAGCCGGAUCAAUAGCUUUUAGUCCAGGACACUCAAGAAGUGAAAGACCUGCCAGAAAACAAAAGUUUCCGAGACUAAAUCACCAGAAAAUGAACCAUAAAAAAGAAAGAAAGAUAGAUCAGCUAAUACUGCCAAUAGGUAGGGGUGAGCAAUUACGGUAAUUACCGAUUUACCGACCGAAAUCGAUUUCAAUUUGGUAAUUCGAAUUCGGUAAUUCGGUAAUUUGAUCGGUAAAUCGGGGAUAUCAUAUUAGGUAAAAUCGAAUUAGGGUUGAAAAUGGUUUUAUAGUUUUUCAUUUCGGAUUUACCGAAUUCGAAUUCAUUUCGGUAAAACGGUAAUAAUUUACCGUUUUCAAUUUCGAAAUUCCCGAAUUAAGUUACAUAGGAAAUAAUACAUUAUGUCCGGAUAUUGGUCCAAUUUCAGAUUUUCAGACGCGGUGCCCUAAACUAGCUACUUUUCUCCAGUCCUCUUCAUCCCCUCUUCCUCUCGUUCCUCUGCACUGCCGCGACGCCGUCCCCUCUUCCUCUUCCUCUCGUUUCUCCUCUCCUCAUUCUCCUCAGUUCUCUCCUCUGUCAGUCCUCUCCUCUCCUCAAGGACCUCAACUAUAGAAAGCUCAAAGCUCACCCCUAGACUCUUUCUCUGUUUCCCAUUCUGACCGAGGCUUCACUAUUGCUGAUCGAGCAUCCACCAUUGCUGACCGAGCAUCCACCAUCACCAGGACCACGGUUCGCUAAUGCUGAUUCCGGUGAAGGUAAGUUAAGUGCUUCACUUUGUAGAUUAAUAAGUUGCCAUAAUUUCGAAAUUUAUUUGAUUUGAAACAUGUGUAAUUUUGGGUUUGGUUGAAAAAUGUUUGAUUGGUGUGAAGCUGAGGCUUUUAAAAUUAAAUUUGCUACUUCUUAUUCAACAUGAAGUUGCCAAAGUGGUGUCUGAGGAGAUUGAGUUACACUGUUUUACUUUCCAUCCGAUUUACACUGUUUUACUUUCCAUCCGAUUUACACUGUUUUACUUUCCAUCUGAUUUACUUUCCAUCUGAUUCAACAUGACUAAAGCAUUCUGAUUUACUUUCCAUCUCCAUUUCAAUGACUAAUUGAUGGAGGUAAGAAUCAAACAAAAGGAAUAGCAAUCAGAAUUGCUCUUUUGACAUUAUGAGUCCCGUUUCUUGAGUUCUUGAAGAUUUGCAAUUAAGUCUCUUAAAUCUGUACUUUCGUCUCCAAUUUACAUAAAUAGGCAUGUUGUACUGUUCUCAGGCUGCAUGUUAGUCAAGACGUAGAAUUCUCCAUGGUUUGGUAAGCCAAGCAUUUGAAUGCGAGGGCUUAAAUUUGGGAUGAUUGUGAACAAUGAACCUGUAUAUAUAGUUAGGAAAGUGUAUUAAUAGGUCCAAAUUAUGUCUUUCCUUCUAGUUUGAAAGCAGAAAAAUGAUAAUUGUUAAUCAGGAACUAAUAGGCCUCCUCAACUAAAUUGACCAAUUAUUAUUAUACUUGUAGCAUUUCUCACGAAAUAGUGAUUAUAAGUUUCCUCUCCAUUUUCAAUUUUGAGAGGAAAUGUUGUCCUGAGUUGGUUCUUCAAUUUCAUCUAGUCUUUUAUUUCAAUUUUAUUGCUAACUGAUUGUUGCACUAAAUUGUAUAAUUUAUUUGCUCAGAUUUUCAAAAAAUUUGAGGUAUGUCUACUACUGAUGAUGGUGAGAGUAAUCCAAGUCGCAAUGAGCUGGAACAAGAAGGAUCAUCUGGACCUCUUCUUCCUAGUCCUACAACACAAAGUUGUGAAGAAUCUGGUCUUGUCAAGAAAAGAGGAGAGUACAAGAAGAGGUCCAAAGCUUGGGAUCAUUUUCAUGUAAAGCAUGUGAAUGGAGUUCGUCAUGCAAUUUGUAAAUACUGUGAGAAGGACAUAGCUGCAGAUCCCAAAAGUCAUGGUACAACUCCCCUUAAUACUCAUGUAGCUAAAUGUCCUCUAAAUCCUAAAAAUAAGCACACUGGCCAGGCUACUUUGUGUUUGGGUGAAACUGAAACAUUAGAGGGAGAGGUUAAAGGGGCACUCAUAAGUUGGAAAUUUGAUGCAGAAGCCAUUAGAAAAAGCAUAGCUGAUAUGGUAAUUGUUGAUGAGUUGCCAUUUAAACAUGUAGAGGGUAGAGGUUUUCAAUACAUGAUGCGGACUGCUUGUCCAUCAUUUAAAAUUCCUUCGAGAUGGACUAUUUCUAGAGAUUGCUAUCAGCUGUAUUUAGAUGAAAAAAUUAAGUUGAAACAUCUCUUGAAGAAUAACAGUGGCAGAAUUUGUUUAACCACAGAUUCUUGGACAUCCAUUCAAAGGAUAAACUAUAUGUGCCUUACUGCCCAUUUCAUAGAUAAUGAUUGGAAAUUGAACAAAAAGAUCCUAAAUUUCUGUCCUAUUGCUAGUCACAAGGGAACUGAAGUUGGUAAGGCCAUAGAAAAGUGUCUACUAGAAUGGGGAGUUGAUGAUAUCCUAACUGUUACAGUUGACAAUGCAAGUUCCAAUGAUGUAGCUGUCAGCUAUUUACGAGGAAAACUUCAAAAUUGGGGGAAAGCUGUGUUAAGGGGGAAAUGGACUCAUGUGAGGUAUGUAGCUCACAUAGUGAAUCUAAUUGUCAAUGAUGGCAUCAAAAAACUUGGGGAUUCAGUUGAUUGUAUCAGGGCAGCAGUUAGAUAUGUUAGACAGUCACCUUCUAGAUUGAAAAAAUUCAAGGAGUGUGUUGAAAUUGAAAAAACUGAAUGCAAAAGAUUGCUCUGUUUAGAUGUCUCUACUGGGUGGAAUUCUACAUAUCUAAUGCUAGACACAGCUCAAAGGUUUGAGCGGGCUUUUGAGAGGUUCGAGGAGCAGGAUCCUUACAUGCUUCAAGAGUUAGAAAAUCUGCCAACAAAAUCUGAUUGGACAAAAGCUAGAUUCUUGGUAAUUUUUUUGGAAAACUUUUAUCAGCUAACUGUGAAGGUUUCUGGUUCCAAAUAUGUGAUUUCAAAUAAUUUUUUCACUGAUAUUAGUCACAUUCAUGGCAUUUUAAUUGAAAUGACAGCAAGUGAUAAUGAAGAAUUGAGUUCAAUGGCAAGAUCAAUGAAGGAGAAAUAUGAUAAGUAUUGGGGAAAGAUUGAAAAGAUGAAUAUGCUGAUUUUUAUUUCCUCCAUGCUUGAUCCUCGAACUAAACUUGAAUACCUUGAAUUUGUGGUUUGCCAAAUGUAUGGUGAGUCCGAUGGUACAACAAUAGCUGGCCUUGCAAAAGAUGCAAUGUUUGAGUUGUUUAAUGAAUACAAGAUGCUUAACACACCUGCCUCAAAUUCUGUGUCUCAUGCUUCUUCACUUUCAAGUGAAUCUCAAAGGAGUAAAACUACAUUUUAUGGACAUGGGGAUGCCUCUAAAACAAUCACUGACCGGUACAAGUUGGAGUUUAAGAAGAGAAAAAUGGAACUUGGGGGUAGGGAUGCAAAAUCUGAAUUAGAGAAAUAUUUGAAUGAGGAUUGUGAGGAAGAUGAUGAGAGAUUUGAUAUCUUGUUAUGGUGGAAGGCCAAUAGCCUUAGAUUCCCAAUCCUUUCGAAAGUUGCUCGUGAUGUGUUAGCAGUCCCAAUUUCUACCGUGGCCUCCGAAUCUGCUUUUAGUACCGGAAGUCGUGUUCUUGAUACAUUUAGGAGUUCUUUGACUCCUAGAAUUGUGCAAAGUUUAAUAUGUGCUCAAGAUUGGUUUCGGUCCUCCAAGACAGAAUUAAAUGUAGAAGAAAAUCUGGAAGAACUUGAAGCCUUCGAAUCUGGUAAGCUAUCAAAAUUUUUAUUGCAGAAUUUGAAGUAUUUCUUUAUUUCUAAUAAUUGCCUUUAUGAUACUUCAUGAAUUUUGUUUGUUCUUGCAGAGUUGCUGAAGACUGGAACUGAAUCAACUAUAAUUGACGCCAAGCUGUAAGAAAAUUGGAGAAAAUUGGUACUAACUCUUAGCUGUAAGAUGUGGACGCCAAGCCAUUAGAUGUGCGGUCAUUAGCCAAACAAUAAGAUACGAACGGCCGCGAUCUUUUGCCACACAUUACAUGUGCGGCUUCUCAAAAUAUUGUGGGACCAUCAUGGACCUUUUGCCUCAAAGUUUUUAGAAACAAAACUUUUUACCGUCGCCGCAACCCGUUUGGAUUGCGAUUUUCUUCAAAAAAAUUGUUACGUUUUCCGUGAACACAUUUUUCUAUCACCUUUUUAAGUUACAUAUAUUAAAUUAUUAUAAUAAUUUUUUUAUAAAAAAUUCAGAAAAAUGCAAUCCAAAUUGAAUUUUUUUUAAAAUUUUCAUCCUCCGCCGCAAAUUACUUUUGCAGCAAUUCAACAAAAUAAAUUGGUUCCAACUUAAAACAAAAAAAAGAAAUUUAAAUCAAAUUUUUUAUUAAACCUCAUAUGAUAUUUGCAACAACCCUUAAUCUGAAAGCCAACCUUCAACAGCAUCACUUUUGUGAUGUUUUCUUGUUUUCGCAUUAUUCUGAGAAAUUACCCCUAAGUUAAAAAUACAAUUUUAAACGCUUUUUCUUUUUUUAAAUUUCAAGCCAUCCAUGUGGAUAAAAAUGAAAAUGCUAAAUAAUUAUAUAAAAUUUCUUAAAUUCACUCAAAAACAACUUACAUAAAAGGAAAGAUUUCUUUAUUUGGUAACCUAAAAGGCACCUAAUUAGCACAUCAAGAAAAUUAAGAUGGACCCAACCUUAAAGUUUUAAACUCAUAAUCAACCAACCUAAAUUACUAACACUUUAGCACAGAAAAUGUAUCCUUCCACCAAAAUAAUCCACCCCCUAUUACAGCAUCAAUUACAGAUUCAGGCUGAUACUUUCUAGCCCUAAAUCCAUCCUUUAGAAAAUCAACAAAAGAAUAACAGAAAAAUAUACAUCAAAUUUGUAUGUAUCAGUCGAAACUGUGUGAUACUGCAUAAUGUGAAAGAGGUAGGGGGGCAAUCUUUGUCAAAAAAUGAAUUCAAUUUCGAGAAGAAAUUUCUUUGUUUAUGGAUUCUUGGUUAAAGAGCAGCAAAAGAUUAAAACUAUAAUUGAAUUGCAUCUGAGUUUACUCGAGUCCAGGAAGCACUUCUUCCACAUCUUACCCAAGAAUGCUUAUCAGCCAUGCAUGCAACAAAUAUCUUCAAUAUCCACUCAAAGUUAAGCCCGCCAAUAUUUUUCCAUUCAUAGUUUCUUUCUAGGUAGGCUCAAAGUGUACAGAGGUACAAACAACGAAGUUCAUUGCGGCUAAAACAUUCAGGUGAAUGGCUCAGCCGGCGCGGCUGUGCCUGAGGAGUUCAAAUUCUCCUUCAUGGUUCUUUUACAGCCAUUUCUUGAAACUUCCCACCCUUUCCAAACGGUAUUGCAGCAGGGACUAUGCAACUCCGGUAAUGCUAAAAAACCCACAAAAAUUGACGGGCAACUCGACCAUCUUUGGCUUAGAGUUGGGAAAGGGUGUCCAUAGACGUAAUCUUGAAUUAAGAAGCUUGGGUAAUCAAGGUAAAGUAAGUGAAGCCAGGAAGAUGUUCGAUGAAAUGCCGCAAAGAGAUGUCGUUUCUUAUGCUUCCAUGAUUACGAUUUAUCUUAAACAAAAUGAUCUUCCUAGAGCUGAAAGUUUGUAUAGUGCAAUGCCUGAGAGAUAUAUUGUAGCUGAUUCGGCAAUGGUACACGCCUAUGCUAAGGUUGGUCAGCUGGAUCUUGCGCGGAAAAUUUUUGAUCGUAUGCCUUGUAGAAAUGUGUUUUCUUGGACUGGUUUGAUUUCUGGGUAUUUUAAACAUGGAAGGGUGGAUGACGCUUGUGAACUCUUUCGACAAAUGCCUGAGAAAAACGUGGUUUCGUGGACUACAAUGUUGUUGGGUUUUGCUCGAAAUGGCUUGAUUGAUCAGGCGCAGGAAACUUUUGAUCAAAUGCCAGUCAAAAAUGUGGUUUCUUGGACAGCUAUGAUCAGGGCUUAUGUGGAGAGUGGUCAAGUUGAUCAGGCCUUUCAGCUCUUCUAUCAAAUGCCUGAACGUAAUCUUUAUUCCUGGAAUAUAAUGAUCCAAGCCUGCUUGGAUUAUGACUUGGUGAAUGAGGCAGUGCGGCUGUUUAAUUGCAUGCCGUGGACGAAUGCAGUUUCUUGGACCACAAUGGUUACUGGGCUUGCACAGAAAGGAUUUAUUGAUUUGGCUCGGAAGUAUUUUGAUCAAAUGCCAAGCAAGGAUAUAAUUGCUUGGAAUGCUAUGGUAUCAGCCUAUGCUGAUCACGGCAUCAUGUCUGAGGCUAGUAAACUUUUCAGUUUGAUGCCGAAUCACAACAUGGUGACAUGGAACGCCAUGAUUGAUGGGUAUGCCAAAAAUGGGCAUCAAGAUGAAGCUCUCAAGCACUUUGUUCUCAUGCUACGAAGAUCCAGUGGGGCUAACGCAAUUACCCUCACUAGUGUAGUGAUUGCAUGUGAAGGAAUUCUUGAGCUGUUGCAAGCUCAUGGUCUUCUCGUCAAGCUAGGUCUUGAGCAAGAGACCUCAUUGACCAAUGCUCUUGUUACCAUGUACUCUAGGAGUGGAGAUCUUAGCUCAGCACGACUUGUUUUUGAGAAUCUUGAGGCGAAAGACAUUUUGUCAUGGACAGCGAUGAUUCUCGCGUACUCUAAUCAUGGUUAUGGUAACCAAGCAUUACAGAUAUUUGCUCAGAUGUUGCGAUCAGGCAAUAAACCAGACGAGGUUACGUUUGUUGGAGUCUUGACGGCCUGUAGUCAUGCAGGUCUUGUCAAGAAAGGCCAAAGGCUUUUUGACUCCAUGAGGUCUGCUUAUAAUAUCAUUCCCAAUAAAGAGCAUUACUGUUGUCUUGUUGACAUCCUUGGUCGAGCUGGGCUAGUCAAUGAGGCUGUCAAGGUGGUUUACCAAAUGCCUCCAGGAGAAUGUGAUGGUGCUGUUUUAGGAGCACUACUUGGCUCAUGCAAGUUAUAUGGGGAGGUUGCCCUGGCAAAGCUUUUGGGUGAGAGAUUAUUAGAGCUAGAGCCAUCUAGUUCAGGAAGCUAUGUGCUUCUAUCUAACUUGUAUGCUACUUGCGGUUUGUGGGACAAUUUUGCUCAUAUAAGAAAGAGGAUGAAGGAGAGUAGAGUGAAUAAAGUACCCGGUUUUAGUCAAGUAGAAGUAAAGGGUGAGAAUCAUGUGUUUUAUGCAGCAGACAGAUCUCAUAAGGAAAUGGAGCAGAUAUAUGCUGCACUGAAGGAGAAGCUUCUACCGGUGAUGCAAGAUAAAUAUUGCAUGUAUGAAGCUGUAGCGGUAUAGAUUGACAUGGAAUUACAUUUAGAGCUUGUGCUACUGCUUGGUGAUGCAAUUUUUGAUUGCUGGGAUAUGCUUUCCACUAAAUUGAUGCACGGUGCUGCAACAGGUGAAAUGUGCUAACUGACUAAAUUUGGUUUGUUUUGAGAUUGUACAUUUGUACACUUUGUAUCACACAGACACACACAAACACACACAAAGGCAUAUACACCUAAGCGUACACGUAGAUACUCUUAUUCGCCUCUGACUAUAGCUAUGAACUAACUGAUCUUUUGCGUUAUCCUGAAGUACAGUACAAAAGCAUUUGUUGUCUGAGAUACCACACUGAACCAGGAAGAUUAGGGGAAAGUAUGUUCCCAACGUUAUUCUAUCUUUGAAUGUUGCCGUUCUCUAGUUUGUAAUCCUUUCAUUUGUUCUGCUGACAAUAAAACAAAAAAUGAAGAAUUUCUUCCCAUAAAGCUUUGAAAUCCUAUUUUACUAAUUUGCAUCAAAAUUGAACAUGGACUAAACCUUGCAUACAAGUCAAGAUGGGCUCAGUGGUGCAGCAUUAAUUUCUCAAUUGAGUUUUCACAUUCAGCUUACAAGUAUAGAUUGGACCUUUCAGUUUUCAAGAGUUUGUUUCCAGUGAGGAAUUGUAUCCAAACAUUUAUCAUAAUAUUGAUGAUUAACGAUGUCUAUUUGACUGUCUAAAAUAACUCAAAAGGUCGUAGAGUCUUUCCUAACUCUCUUUUGAUGUAUUGAUAUUCCAGAUUCCGUAGCUGAAUUGGUGGAAAUGCUGCUAAAAAGCACGGAGUUCCAAGGGUAUGCAUUUGACGGGGCCAAGGUGAAGAAGAGAGAAAAGGAGACUGGUAAUUUAGAGAAGAAGAGAUGCUGCCUAUAUUUCGGACUUCCAAAUAGAUCAAGUUUCCUAUUGCUUAACAUUGUGCAGCUAAAUUGAGCUCUCAUGAAACAAAUCAAUAUCAGAUAGGCUUCCCAAUUGGUCCAGCAGAAAGAAAAGCUUAGGACUUUUGCUUUGCAUAAGAGAUUCUCAAAGCUGAAGAUUCUUACUUAACUAACCAAGACUAUCAAACAGGGUUCCAUAACAAAGGAAAAUUAGGAGGCCUGGCAAUGGUAAUGCAAAUGGAAAAACUAAUGGCCGGGUAAUGCUGGUGUUUUAUGAAUUUUAUUCUAACUUGUUGAUCUUAAUAUUUCAUUUGUAAUAUCAGGUUUAUUUGAUGACUGAAAUGCCCUAUACUUGUACAGAUUUCUACAGGCUUCCUAACAGGGAGAAAAGGGUCAAAAGUUUCUUUGAUCAAAACAAGGGCCAUCCAUUUUUGCCCUUUCCUAUGUUGGAAGUUACAGUCCGAUUCAAACUCUCCUAGAUACCUUUUUGUUCUUCAUCAGAUGGAUGACACUUAAUAGGCAUCUAUUCUGAGAAGCUUCUUGCAUUCCAUGUUCACUACUGUUACUUUCAAAUGAACUAACAAACUCUGUAGCUGCUUCUGUUGUUCUUUAUUGUGAGUAUUCCCCGGAUACCCGGUUCAUUGUUUCUUUUUUUGAGGCACAUUUUCUUUGUAAACAUGACAAUACAAAAGACUGAAAUAAGAGAGAGUCGAUAUAGCGCAGAUGGAUUUACCGAACAAUUUAAUACCUUUUAAGAGCAAGUUCAGUACAGAAUCAUUUUUCUGCUGGUGAUCCAGUUCUAAGAAAAAAUUUUGAUCUUGACAAAAUACUUUAUUGUCUGUUUUGGUUCAUAAAGUAGCAUUUCUUUUUCAGUUAACUUUCAUCAGUCGACCAUUGACCAAUAAUGCUCAUUUGUAUUAUGCAAGACAACUAGGGCUGUCAACGGGCCGGGUCCGGGUCGAAAUUCAUUAUUCCGGACCCGGACCCGAAUUACUAUACCGGAACAGGAUCCGACCCGUUUACCCGACGGGUCUUUUAUUCUAUGUUCCGGAUCCGGAUCCGGCGGAUCCGGGUCGGGUCUGCCCGAACAAAUUUAGCAAAAUUUAUAAUUUCUAAUAAAAAUGAGAAAAAAUAUAUUUGUAAACUAAUUUCUAACUAAUGCAAAGAAAAAAUCAAAUAAGAAAAGAAAUCAAAUUGACUUUACUCAAAUACAUCACCCUAAUCAAAUUAUAUUGAUAAAUAUAUAUUUUUUAAAUUAUUAAUUCAUUUAUAUCCGGAUCCGGGUCUAAUACGGGUCGGAAUACUAUAUUCCGUAUCCGACCCUUUUUUUGUUUGACAAAACGGAUCUGGAUCCGGAUCCGGGAAACGGAAUUAAAUCCCUACCCAUACCCGCAAUAAUUUCAUGAAUCCGGGUCUAGACCCGACCCGUUGACAGGCCUAAAGACAACACAAACCAUUAUUUUAAACAGUACUUUUAUGGUCUGUAUUAGUACUUUAGUAAGUCCUUUUUUUUUCCCCAAUUAACUGUUAGUGGUGCCCCUAAUCAACCAGUAAAUGUUCAUUCAGAUAGAAUGACAUGAUAAAAAUCAGUACAUUAAGAUAAGGCAACGUUUUUGUUGAUACAAAACAUAGAAAGUUCAGAUAGUAAAAUUAUUUUGACAUAAACUACAAUUGAGUGGCCAUAUGUCCAAGGCAAAUGACAGUUUUACUCCCACUUUACCUGACAAAGCAUACGCAAAUUUUGCUAGAAGAGUGUUAGAUUCGUCUGUUUUCUUCUUCUUCCAAUUUCAAGGGCACUGGUGGAUGCCUGUGUUCAAGGGCAUUACGAUUUAUACAUUUGCAUACAUUCAAAAACUUGUAAACAAAUUCAGAAAGACAUUUAAAAAUGAAAGUUCGCAAAUGAGGAACUAGUGGAUGUUUAUGGAUAAACCAACAUUUUUCCAAAUUGAAGAAUAAAUAGACAUUAUUAUUAGUUGAGUAUCACUGCAUUUUUAGCAGGACCAAUACCCAGUUUUGUCUUCUGUAAUUGACAAUAUCUUAAGCAGUAAUAGCCAAAAAUCUCAUUUUAAAAAUGAACGGUUCCCAUUAAAUGGCAAGCAUUGCUGAUUCCAAAUGAACAGCAGCUAUCUUUGCAAUGUCUUCAACCACGAACAGAAGAAAUCAAUGUUCUACACUUCAAAACCUCCCCAGCAUCACGACAUAACCCAACUUUGCAUCUGCAAUGACAAUUUGUUUUAGCAUUCAGUAGAAGUGGGUGCCAAUUACCAUCCAAACAUAUAUGUCAACGCUUGAUUUGUGUCGGCUCAAAGUUGAAACUACAAAAGAAUUCUUGAUUGCUUUUGCUACAUGCACUUUCCACUGAUUCACAAAAACAGAACAAAGAGCUUGGACAUUCAUAGCACGAGGUAUAUCCUCCAAAGUUAAAAAAGAUUAAAACCAAUGAUACAGAAAAACCUUUCAAGUUGUCUUUGCUUUCUACAUUCAGGAUCUGUGAGCGUGCGAUAGCCUUUCAAAUCUUUCUUACCCUCCAUAGAUUUGCAAUCAGAGUGUAGAAACCAAUAUAGGCAUACACGGGUGAGCUUCUGACUGGAUUGCCUGCCUCAACCUGAAUGCAGAGACUACACAGAUGCCGGACAUCUUACCUUGGGAAGGAUAUAAAUCGAGGACAGAAACCCAGAAAGGAGUUUCUAGUCUCAUAAUUUCAGAUGCAUACACGACAUACCUAUCCCCAAAGUAUGCAGUAAACUCAGCAACAAUCAGAAAAGAUACCUGUACAUUCCUGUGAGCAGCAGACGGCAUUGAAUGAGAUUAUCAUGCUUUUACACCAUCCAACCGCCCAAAGGAUUAAAAAGACCCCACACCAACACACUUAAAACGAAGGAUUAGGAAGAUGAGAAAAUUUUUCAUAUCUAGCCAAUAAUGCAUUGUUACUUAAUUAGAUUAUUAUCUUAUUAUACCUUCAACAAUUUUCGAUAUGCACAAAUAAUGCAAGACUGUCGUCACUCAAUGAUCUUCACGUACACAAACAAAAAGCAAAAUGAUCCAUCACAAAGGCUAACACAUUAGAUUAACUGCAAUUGCACACAAUUUGAACACCAAUACACUUGCAAAAAUUUUAUCAAAUCAUGGAAAAUAUCAGUUGCUUGAGAGCUUAGCAAAGUUACAAGUUCUACCCUUGACCAACCUAGUCUCUUCUCUAGACAUUCUUCUUCGCUUCACUAAUAAGAUAGCCAGCGACACCUAUUGCUAGGUUCUGUGAUGGCCUGGGCUGUACUAUCAACCAGUGGUUAUCUUCUCUCUUUCAGUGUGUUAGGAUAACAGAAGCUCUGCACAUUCUGAGGUCCUGCCAAGGCACGGUUCUCUCGGUUCUCUCCCUUCUGGUGGUACGCAAGAGAAACAGAAGAACUGUACUUCAAGCAGCCAGUGACACCUCCAGAUUGCUCGUAAUACAAAAUUCAAUAUAGAGCUGACAUCUCAAACAGUAUUUCCUUCGGUCCAGAGACAAGUAGAGCUCCAAAACACGCAAUAAGUGAGGAUCGUCUCCAGAUUUCUAAUAAUACUAUAGAAAUAGUCCAUCAUUGAAUCAUUCCCCAGGAACUAAACAUACCUAGAUAGCAUGAGCAGCAGUCAGUAACAAUAAAUCACAAAAUACUGCCAACUUGUAUUUUACAUGUAAAAAUUUGGAUACAACAGCCAAAAUGUAACAUUUGCUUCAAUUCAUUCCAAAUAUACAAGAUUUUCUUUGAAACUGAACUAUAUACCAAAGGCACUUCGCAGACUUUCUUGGUUUUGUAAGACAAUAAACUGACACAACACAGUAACUACCUCAAACGAUAUGACCAGGAAUGGAAAUUCAGCAUUUCAUCAGCCAUUUCAAAGCUUCUAGAGUAUUACAAGAUUAAAAUUCUCAAGAAAGUCCAGAGUAAAUUCAGUGGUCCAACACUAUUCAGAACAUCAUCUACAAGGAUCUCAAACCAAACUGCCAAUCAUUUUACACUGAGAAGGAUCACGGAGUUAGUAGAUCUUCACGGAACAAUUACACGUCAAAAGAUUAAGCGCAAAAGCACAUAAUGAUGCUUUGAUUAACAAGAGCUUUGUUGUCUUCAGAUCUCACACAAAUUACUUUUUCCUACUACAUUACCUAACCAUUGCUUUUGCUGUAUCGAACAACACAGCAUGCAGAGCGCAUGGAGCAUUUAAAUGAACUCUCACCAUCAAUGGACAAAAAACAGCAGUUAACAAAAAAAAAUCUUGACAAAAGAACUCGUACAUCUAAUUGCAGUACCUGAAAUCCUGCCUAAUCAAACCAAGACCCAACAUUUGGCAGACUAGUUUCCAAAUGGUGAAAACAGAAAGCUAAUCCUAGUUUCCAUCUGAUCAGCCAGAACCAGCAUCUAAACGUAUACUGCCGCUUUGCCGCCCAUGAAAAUUUCCCCUGCCACGCUUUGACUGACCCAGUCCUCUGUCCUUGUAUCUUUGGCCCGCAUUAUGAUAUUCAUCUUCUGGUUUUUCAGGUUUACUAUUGUUAUAUGACCCUACAGGAUGGUACUCAUAGUGGUGGAUGUUAUGCCUCUGCCUAUCAUUAUUCCAAUCCCCACGAGGUUCACGGCUUGUUCCAGGAUAAUUAUUUUGAGUUCGACCCCUCUUGAUAUCAGAAGAUAAAUGCUGCUUAUUUUGAGGAUCAGCAUUAAUAGUAUAUCUUGAUUCAUCAGCACCAUUUGCGCCUCCAUUAGGGGGGUGGGAAUGUCCUUUAGAUGUUGGCAUUCUCCUUUCUUUCCUGUGUCCUUGAUGCCCUACAUUUUCAGAAGUUUGAUCCAGCAGAGAAUCUAUUUCGCUGCUCUCCUUGACAUUAGGCGGAACAUGGGAACUAGGCAGUGAAGGAUAAUCCUUUUUGACAACAUCUUUUUCCACAGUAACAGCCUGACCUAAGUUAGACCUAUUUCCACGCUGGCUGUUAUUUGAAGAUGAAUUAGAUUUGGGUUGCCAAUGAGACGAUGACCGUUCCUCAAAGCCUCGACUCUCUUUUGAUAGAUUGACCUUAUCAGCAUGUUUUAUGUCAGGACCCAAAAAUUGGAUAUGACUCCCAUCAGCUUCCCCACUAAUUUGAUUCUUCUCAUUGUCAUGAUUAAAUCCCAUGCUUUUGUCAGCCUUCAAUGAGUGCUUCUUUCCUUUGCCUGUUACUCCCUGAUCUUUCGCAACAGGUGAAAGAGCAGGAGCUGUUACAUUAGAAUAAGUGGACACAUUCUGGCCAUCAGAAGCACUAGAAUCCCUGGAUACCUUCCCUUCCACUUUGGCAGAAUUUAGAUCGGGCUUCACAGAUUGGUUUUGGCGGACUGAUGUCCGAGUACUCUUGCUUGAGUUGGAUGUGGAAGUUGGAGAUGCAUUCUGCGGUGCUUCUGUUGAACCCCGUUGACGCCAUGCUCCAUGUGCUUUGACUUGUUUAUUAAGCCUGGAAUCAACUUCCCUACACUCUGCAGUUGAUGCAACAUUGCAGGUUGCUGAACUACCCGGAUGAAGACUUCCAGAGCUUGCUAACCCACUUUCAAUUCUCUCAGAAAACUCAUCAGAUGUUGACAUCUCAGUUGAAUAUGAAACUGGCUGCUGGACACUAUUCUGCUGAGCUAGUUCUUUGGCAACUGGCUUGGGUACAUAUCUCUCCAUUUCUGCCCUUUUGCUUUUAAUGUUACUCUGUACUUGAUUAUCACAUUUUGCUGAAAUACCACAUUCCUGUGCAUUUUGUUGGCUCAUUUCACUUGCAGGCUCUGCUUUACUUUGUGACUUCACAGGUGCCCAAAUAACAACAUCACUGCCAUGAGAUUUAUCCGUAAACCUGUUAGAUUGUUGGUUUCUUGCAAACCUGCGAGAGUGCUGAGGUUUUCUGUGGUUGCUUAGUCUACCAUGAGCCUCAUCACCUUGUAAAGAAGAAUGCUGCUUGGAGGACUCCAUUCCAUCAACAGUAGUGAUCACCUCCUGAACUACACUACUAUCCAGAUCUGAUUGAGAAGCCUUAAAGUCCUCCUUUUCAGUGUAAGCUUCAACAGGGUUACUUUCGUUUGGUGCUGUUGAUGGUAAAAUAGGUAUAGAUGCUGCAUCAUCCAGCUUGUGCUUUUUGCCACUCCUGUUGCCUUUCCUUCUCUGUUGUGCAGAGGACUCGCUAACAAUGUUAGGGUUUCUUGGGAAGUUUGAUUCACCACUAUACAAAGUAUCAGCUGGAGAAACCACAUUGACUUCAUUGGAAGUUAUACCAGUCUCAUUUUUAGGGCCCUCAGGAACGCUGAUUGCCUCUGACUGUUGGCUAAUUUUUUUUUCUUGCGUAGCAUUCUGCUUUGGCUUAAAGCUGUUUCGUUUAUGUCUAGAGGCACCACCUUCAUUCAUUUGGGCAGAAGUUUUACGAUCAAUGGCAUCAGCAGAAUGGGCUUCCUGUUUCAAAGGCAAGGACUGACCAUCCAAAACAACUGGCUCAAUGGGGACAGCUUUGGGUAAAUUGCUGCUUGAAGUUGCAGAUUCAUCACCACUUGGGACAGUGCUCAGACUAGACUGAGUAACAACACCAGAGACUGAAGAAAUAACCUUUGUCACAGCUUGAGAUUUAGCAUCAUCCAGGCUCGAUCCAGAGUAUGUUUGUUGUUCUUGUAGCUCUGGCUGGCACACACCAACCAGAGCUUUUUCAUUCUUCAAAGGCUUGCCUCCCUGUGUACGCCUAUUCAGCUCCUCCAGUUUAGCAAAAGCCUUUGCCUUCUGUUCUCUAAUUCGCUCUUCCUCUUCCUUCUGUAGCUGUAAGGCCCGUUGCUUCGCCAAUUCUCUCAUUUUGGCACGCUAACAAAGUUUCACAAGUAACACGUCAAACAACUAGAUAACAGACAUCAAAACAUAACACUUCUAAUAAGACCAAAUACUACAAAAUGAAUAACCUGUGCCUGGCUAUCAGUUGAGUCAAAUAUUUCAGUUGCCGUUUCUCCUUCGUUCUUCCCUGUAGGAUCCUCAACAGCUGCCACUACAGGUUGGACUUUAGUUUCAUGGACAUCAAUAGAUAUGAUAUCAGCAGCUGGGAUAAUAGCAGGCUCAGCAGCUACAGGUUUCUUUUGCCAGCCACCACCAUCCAAACUGCGAAACCUUCCUUUGCCAUUAUCACUACCUUUACCAUGCAUAUGAUCAUACGCUCUCCUGCAAAAAUUGGAAAUGAGAUGUUUAGCAAUACAGGGGAAGAAAGAGACAGACAGUAAAAAGAGAAGCCUUCUUCACAAACCUAGGAGCAAAUGCUGGGUGAGAGCUUCUAUCCCCAGCAGAAGGAAGCAUUUCCUGGGAUCCAGGUCCCAUAAUACCAGCUUUGAUCAUGUCAUUACCCUUAGGGAUAACAGCUUGGGAUGAGUUCUGUGGACCAUCAUAACGUCCAUCGGAGGCACGGACUUUCACAUUCAAGCCUUCAAUUUUCUGCAUUAAAGUUGAAUCUCUUGCAGUAGCUGUUACAGUUAAACCUCUUUCUGUGCCAGGAGAUGGUUGUGACAUUCCUGGAGAGGGUGCAGCAGUCACAGAUUGGUGUUUCUGAUUAUUAUCAACCACAGCACUGCACACAUUCUCAAAAGACUGGACUUUGAAAGUGUCAGGAUCAUGAGCCCCUUGAUCCUUUGCUUUGUGUGAAGAUGAGUUUUCACCUUCUGUUCUCAUUGCAUACGUCUCUUCUUCACUAUCAGGCUCAGGCUCAGCACCCCACUCCCUUCGCAAUGACACACCAGACAGAACUCCUUUCUUAGGAUGUGAGGUAUUAUCGAAUGUUGGCCUGCGUUCCAAAUUCUCACCAUCCCCCUUCCCAUUCCCUUCAUCAUGUUGCUUUAAAAGAACUUUAUAUUGCCCAGAGGCAUCACCAGAAUGAGCUGUUUCUACGUGCUCUGAUAACAUUUUGCCCGUAGAACCAGUCCUACCAGCUCUGGCAUGAGAAUGGCCAGAAUCAGGAGAAUGUCUAUUAUAAGCAGAUGGGCCACCCAUGCCCUUAAAUGGUAGUUCCCGUUCAUUGGAAUUGCAAUAACCCAUUGGUGGCCCAUAAUAGCCCUCAAAAUGCAUUGGACCAGGAUAAAAACCUGGCCUAAAUGGCAUUCCUGGACGUACAAAAGCUUCAGGCAUCUGAGGCCUGUAUAGCUCCCCAUUUUUUGGAUGGUGUCCCCUGGGACCAGCCCCUGGCAGAGGAACUGGCUGUGAAUUUGGUAAAGCUGGAGGCGGAAUUUGCGGACAGUAGUAAGGGAAUGGCUCAAUGGGGAAGCCACCAGGUGCAACAGGGGCUCCAUAAGGUGGCCCCGCAGGAGGACCUCUAUACCAAACACCAGCUGGUGCAUUCAUGGGAGGGCCACGCCAUGCAUCAAACUGUGGUGGGGGAAUAUUGGAAUUGACAUAUUGUUGAGGCUCCCCAUGCCACUUCACUUGGCUAGGCUGCAUCCCAUCAUCUGCACUUCGGGGACCAUCUCUGUUCCACGCAUUAACUGUUCCGCUCAUGAUAUCUGGAUCAGAGAAGAAUCACAAUAAAUUACAUUAUAUAUUGCAUAAAAUUCUAUGACCUAGAUGGUAGUUCAAUAAUGACCAGAAAAGCUAAAAAGCACAUUCACAGACCCUGGCCAGCUUGAGAUUCUUCUAUCUUCUCUUUUCUCUGGGUGCCAGAAGCUGAACUAGGACGGCUAUGAGAACCCUGAUCUGCCAUUGAUUGUUAACGAAGCAAUCAAAACCUCAAGCACUAAUCAAGUUGGAUAAAACUAACAGUUGCCACAAGAAAAAAAAGUUCCUGAAUGGAAGAGGUUUUAGAGAAAUGACUAGGACACUUAUGCAAGAGAACAAGAUAAAAGAUCACAAAUAAAAUCUACACACACACACAAUGAUCAAGUAUAAAAUCUGAUUUUAACUGCAAAGGGAACAAAUAAGCCCUUAGCCCCAAAUUGAGUUCACUCUGUUCCUAAUCAAAAUUUCAGACAUUCAAAACAAUUGUUUUUCCUUCUUUUGCAACUUUUAAAAAAUCCAGUCAAGGAAUAGAAAUUCGAAGUCAAGCAUAAGCAUGUGAGAACAUUGUUUAGUGGGAAAAAAAUGAAAUAAUAAUCCAAAAACAAAAAGCUUCACCAUACAAAAACCGUAUGUGCAGAUGAUAUCCCAUUUCAAAAUCUUGAAAGAGGCGAAGGCCCAUUCUUGUGCUCAACAGUGAAAAUAUUUGCACAUAAGCUCUGGAAUUCCAGUACUAAGCUGAGUUCUUUGAGGUUGAGUAAGAUAUACAGCCUAUUAAUACCUUUAUUUUUUAAUUUACAAUGAAGGUGAACAAUGAAAAGUUCAACAUAUGUACGCAAUUUUUCUUAGACCCAAGUCAUACUAGGUGCUCCCUGCUUCUCUUCCUUAAUUCUCUCUUCUUCCACCUAUUUCUAUGAUUUUCCACUCUCCUGCUCCACACCCACCCCCCCCCCCAAAAAAAAGUGCUCUAUUGACAGGAGAUGCAAGAAAAACGCAUCAUCUAUAAGGACAACAAAAACUUCUUGAGUACAUUUGCAAUUAAAAAUCACUAAAAAACCGUGAUCUGCACACAUGAAAUACUGUAAAAUAGAUACUCCUAAGGGCAAUCUCUAAGGGCAAUCUGUAAUGGACGCAUCAGCAAAUAGCAACGUAUUAAAAAUUCCUAAUGGCAAACAACCAAUUACCUCGUGGCUCAGAAUUCUUCGCAGAACCAUCUCUACUUGAAUUUAGUGUUGGAAAAUCCCCAGUACUCAGCGAGAACCUGUCAUUCUCGGAGGAAGCAACCCCCUGUCAGAUGCACAAGGCGAAUCAGCAUGAUAAAAAUCCUCAAAAAGGAAGAGAUACAAAUAGAAGAUCAACACAAUAAAGUAGACUCUAAGAACAAAUUAAGGGACAAGGGAGGAGGCGCAGAGGUUAACUAAUCUAAACCCAGGAAAUCAAGCAUAUCGGACAAUAGAGACAUACCACUCUUUCUGCAGUACCACUUGGACCCCGCAGACCUGAACUAUCAGAUACAGGUUCUGCAAACCGUGACAGUUGUGAGCUACUAGGUCUUGUUUCAGCACUCUGUGGCCGCAACGAGGUUGAUGUUUGGUUUGAUGCCAAUACUCCAGAAGCUGAUGAAGGCCUAGAACUUGGACCCCAUGCAUUAGCAGUGCGCUCAUAUGUUCUAUCACUACCAGCAGUUGAUGGUCGACUACCACUUCCAGCAGAUGAUGGACGCCCACUCAGCUGGCUUGGUGAACUGACACUACCAUCAGCAUUUGAAGACUGUGUUGUGGAACCCCAUGGAUUGGAAGCAGAUGAUGAAGGGCGGCUUCCCCAACCAAGACUACCCCUAUGAGGCCCGAAAACCCAAUGAACUCAAUUAAAACUUACAGCCCAAAUAAUAAACAUACAAAGAAUGGGUAUCAAUCAACCGUAAGAGCAGCACAUCAAGCAAGCUGACAGGUGGACGUGUUUAUUUUAGAGAGAGAAGAAGAAGAAGAAGAAAGAAGGAAGGAAGGAAGGAAGGAAGGAAGGAAGGAAGGAAGGAAGGAAGGAAGGAAGGAAGGAAGUUUUUACUCACUUGGGAACAAUUUCCACAUUGGGAUCCAGGCCAUGAUUUUCUAACCUUGAAACAUCAUUCAAAAAAAGAUUCAGAAAGUAACCCUAGUAAACACCAAAGAAGAAAAGAUUAACUCAAGCGAAAAACAAUACCUUUGGCUGGGUAAAUUCAAAGGCUUUGGAACAGAAACUUUCCCUAACACAGUCAUUCCAGUUCGUCUUGCAGAAGCCCAUCUGCAACAAUAUCAUUAUAUCCAAUUGUAGAUCCCCAUCAAGAAGAUACAAAAUAUGUCAAACAUCAUAACCAAUAGCACCAAUCAGCUCCCAGAGAUGCACAUGCAUCUAAAAGGGCAAGAUGCCAACUACAACGCAAAUAUAUAAACAAAACUCUAAUGACACAAAUAGAACUGAAACUCCCAGUCUGAUGAAAGCCAAUACCCUAAACAGCACCAGAGUCUACCCCCCAAGUGUAAAAAAUAGACAAGUGAAAGAUAACAGAAGGAAGGUGACAAGAAAACAACAAUCUUCCGAUGCCGCCUUGAUCUAGUGGAACGAGUUAGAGGUCUGGGUUCGAGCCUCAUUAAAUGUGAGCAUUGCCCAACUUUAUGUUAGUUAUCAUACCACUAUUUGUGGGUUGGUUGGUUGUGGUGUUAAUCACUUGAUUGGUUAUAACCAAUUUGCAUUGAUCCCAUUUUUGUGGGUUACUUGUACUCUGAGAAAGGAAAAAACUACAAUCUCUCUCCAUGAGACUUGUGGACACUUAAACUCCCCUCAUCAACUUAGUACUGCAAUGAAAUCUGCCAUGCACCCAGGGGAAAGAGGAAUUGGAAACACAAAACACAAACUAAUUUUAUCCAUUAAGAAUGAAACUACAUAAAUGAACUACAUACACAACAAAUGGGUGUGUGCCCGAACUACAUACACAAAAUCACCAUCAAACUACGUAUUCGAAAGGAAGCAACGCAGCAUCUCUUGUGCCUCAAACAUAGUUGCAUCAAUAAUCCAUUUCUUUGAUUUUCAAAGUACAUCGUUUUCUUAUAAAAUGAAGCAAAAUCACACCCAAUACACCAUCUGUUAUGCCAACCUAAGGAGGACCAUAUCCAUACAUUUGUUAUGCUGGUAAUCCAUUUCUUUUAGUUUGAAAGACGUGUAUACCAUUUUGGACCCAUUGUCACCGAAGUGGACAAAAACAGAAGUGCAAUUGCAGAAAAAUGAAACGCACCAGCAACUUUAUUGAGUUAUUCAAACACAAUGUGUUUCUAUUCCCUUUAAGAGCACUUUUGCAACUAUUUGGCAAUAUUAACCAAAAUCACAUGGCUCUUUUAUAGCCAUAACCAGAUAUAAAAGAUGCAGACCUCAGCAUUUGUACCCACAAUUACCUAAAGUAUUCCUUUACCACGCCCAAUGCAUUCCUAGCAAGUUCAUGAUGGAAAUCAAAGGGACACAUUGGUAAUUCUAACAAAAGCUGCCUCAUGUAGACAUAGGAUUACACAUCUUCAUAAACAGUAAAAAUUCCCAACAAAUGACAGUAAAUGUGAGAUGGACCUUAUGAGGUAAUGCAAAAAUAGAAAAUAAUGCGAGUAAGACUACAGUAUUUAAAUGGAAAAAAGGUGUCUCACCUCACAUACAUAUAGCAAGAACAAGCUACCCAAUUAACUUAGCUCUAGCUUAGAAGAUAAAAUAAGGUAUGAAGCACAUGUUGAAGGUCUUUGAUGAGCUUGCACAGAGAAACAGUUUUCAAAAAAAUUGACCAUAUCUCUACCUUCUUCAGCAGCUUAUUGUUAUAUAGAACCCACAGCUAUAUCCCCUACUUGCAGAUAUGAAUAAUGUGUCUUACGAGCCUUUGCCUUCUUGAGACAGCACAACUUAGACUAUAUGUAGUAAUCGGAUCCAACCAUACAAACGUAUUAGCAUUGAAUCUUACAGCGAAAAAUAAAAAGAAUCUCUACCUUCGUUCUCCUGCUAAUAUAUUUGACGUCAUCUUCGAAAUAACAUCCCCAGAUCAUUCAGAUGACCUUGUCGUGGUCUGGGUGAAAAUGCAAAGAGAAAUCAUCAGAGGUUACACACAAAAGUUUAACAAUUACAGACAGACCAAAAGCAAAACCAAUUAAAAUUAUCGUGCAUGAAAGUUCUAUUCUGCCUUUAUUGUACAGUUCCAGGAUUACAAAAGUACAUGCACUCUGGAACCAAAACAACACAACAUAGAAAGCUUAGAGUCUGUUUGAGAGUGGUCCAUUUUUCAUGAAGCUUGUUCCAAGCAAAAAGCACAAAAUUUCAGGUAACCAAUAAGUAAUUUGUGCCAAAAUGAUUUGCCCAAUAUACGCCCAUGCACCCCUGCCAAACAUUUCAAAGAACCUUUUCCUUCUCCAUACUGUUCCAAACCAUCUCCUUUACAAAUAUAAAAGGAGAAAAAAGACAGGGCAAUGCAAUCCUUUAAUACUUGCAAGCAAGAAAGUCAUGAAAAUCGUGUUCAUGACAACCUUUGAAAGCAGUUUUAGUGGGAACCCUCAAUCAAAUCCUUUCUAUUCAUUAUAAACCCUCCUUGAUUCACAAAGGCCACCAGAGUUACUUUACUAGAAAUAGAAACCUUUAAAUGUCAGUAAAGACAAUUUUCAACGAGAAACAAAAUCAGAAAACCUAUAAAAACAAAAACAACAUUUCAACCUCUGUACAUGUUAAUACAUGUACUUAGACAAAAAAAAUUUAAAAAAAUUAUGCCCAAGUAACCCCAACAAGUACAGUGGAAUCAAUCCCUCGAACAUGACUCCCAUUCCUCUCUAUCAAUAAAGCAAAAGUAAAAAGAAAUACUAACAGCUUUCAAGUCACUGCACUAUCAAUUCACACAUGCCCAACCAGCACCAAAAAAGGUAAAAAUGCCAAACGCCCCUUUUUUUUAAGCAAUAAAGCGCUGCAACCCCAAAGACCUGAAGGCAUACACAGCAAGAAUAGUCUUUUCCUUAAAAAUGCUUCAUAACUAGCAAACACCAACUGAUCCUCGAGAGCUUAGAAUAAAUAUGAUCCUCAAAAUGUCAGUCAAUUUAACUACUUGUCCAUGACACUCUCAAGCCUAAAUCUGAUACACAAAGCAAGUCCUACCCAUACUAAAUAUGUGAAAAUAAACCCAGAGAAUCCAUAAUUACAUUCAUCUGUCUACCUCCAACCAAAAUCACAAUAUGCACAAAAAGAACGCUUUCUAAUAUAAUAAGACAUUGCGUAUUCAGCAUAUCCUUAAAAAAAAAAUUUCUCAAUUCCUACAUGAAAAUAGGAUACAUCAAUACAAUCCUAAACCAAUGCUUGGAUGACUGUAAUCGGGAUCUCAACAAGUUUAACUACUUAACAACCUGCAUAGAAUCCUCUCCAAACCUUAAAAAUCAGAAGCUUGUCCAUCUUAACCAUAUUAAAACAACCCAACAGAAGAAAACAAAAACAUACAUAUUCCACCUAUCAAACAAAGCCUCAAACUUUUCAAGGACACAGCAUCAUAAACGGUAAUUGUCAUCAACAAAAACAUGCAUAUUCCACCUAUCAAACAAAAUACGGUCAAACUUAGCAAGGAUACAGCAUCAUAGACAGGGUUUAUCCUUUCGUCCAGUAAAAAGAAUAGAAAUAUCUCAAUUGCUUCACAUGAUCCCUAACAUCAAAUUUCUGAACUACAAAAGGACUACAUAGAAUUAAUAUAAAAUGACUGUUUUGCAUAACCACAUACCCACUUACAACAACUAUAACACUCAAAAUACAAAAAACAGUUUUAACUUCUUAAGCGCCUCUCAACAGCCCCUCCCAAAACCCCUAAAGAGUAGCCAUCCAAAAGAACUCCACCCCUACGAAAUAUAUCAAAAUCCUACCCGCAAAAAAUACCAAGAUAUAGUAUACAAAGCUACCCAUAACUCCAACCAAAAGCAGAAAAUGCACUAUAAAAGCCGUAUGCUUGCAGCAACACAACAUUAUCCACCGCUUAAUUCUUGAAUACCGUUAGUAUAAAGGAGAAUAUCUCAAUCAGUACCCAAACCACCAAAAAAAAAAAAAAAAACUUUGUUCGUAAACUGCAUAAUCGUAAAACUACUCAGCAGUAACUAUACAAUUUCAAAAAGGCAGCAAAUUCAACUAUUUAGCCUAGCUAACAAAGACUUCUCUUGAAACCCUAAAAUCAAAGACCCCCAUACCACAAUCCACCUCCGAAAAGAAAAACUAAAAAUACAUUCAAACAUCCUCCAAGCCAAAAACACAACAUACCGAGGAAAAAAGCCUGCAUCUUUUGCAGCAAUACAUCCUCAUAAACAAGUUUUCUCCUUUUUCACCUUUUCCUUCUUCUUUCAUUUAACCAAAAUGAAAAAAAAAACUUCGAAACUCACAAAAUACCUUUCAAAAAAUGCUACAAACAAACUCAAUCCCAAACACGGAGCCAAAAAGCAGAAGCUUACCGGAGUGAAAUCCGUUGGGAUCUUCGAGAAACUCCGAUCUAGGUAAACUUUUUUUCUUCGAGACAAAUAGUAUAGGUAAAAUAAAGGUAUAAAAUUGUAUCUUCUAAAUCAAUAAAUUAUAAAUUAUAGAGAGAGAGGGGGGGGGGCAGGAGACCGGUGACGAUUAAAAGGUUUUCGCUCCUGAGUGCGUGAGUGUGUGCGCGCGUGUGCGCGUGUAUGUGAUUACGGUGAUGAGAAGGGAUCGGAGGAGGAGGAGUAGGAGAUGGGGGGACAGGGGAACACGGGGAAGAAGGGAACGAGUGCUUUCGGACCUUCGAGUUUCGAGUCGGGAGUGUGGAACCCAGAAGUGGGGUGGGCCGUGGGGGGGCCUAGAGCUUUAACUCUUGGGAUAAUUUCAGAAACCUCCCUUGAGGUUUUUGAUAAUUUCACUUAGUUCCUUUGAGGUUUUAAAAAUUACACAUACCUUCCUCAAAUUUAUCAUUUUGGUAACAAAAACUAUUCAAUGGCCAAAAUUUUGAAUGAAUAACCCAAAUUGCCCUCAUAAAAUUGUGAAAUUUAUUUUAUCUUCUUAUGAAAUUUUAAAAAAAAAAUGGAAUAUACACAAAAUUUCAAACCCACUUUUAACACUCAUCUUUACUAUUUUAAAACUUUUAUAUUCUUACAUCUUGAAUUAGUACCAUUAUCAUCGUGACCACCGCCACCAUCAGUACUAUUAAACUUAAAAAAUCUCACUAACUAUAUUAAUAUAACAUCCAAUCUCUCAAAUAUUGGAGCACAUGUUAGGCUUAGGUUUUAUCUCACCAAAAUCCAAAUCUAACAAAAUAAUGGUUGUUUGGAAAAAAUCCAAAUCCAACAGUACCAAUACAUGCCUCACUAUAUUUAAAUCUUCAACUUACAUUUUCUUCUAUUCAUCUUUAGAUCUUUCAAACCAAGCUAAAAUUAUUUUGUAAUAUAUUAGAAUUAUGUUUAGGACAUAAUUAGUUAUUCUAUAAGUGAACCUUGUUUUUGUUUUCCUUAAAUAUUUAAUUGUACGGUGCAUUCCUAUGCACAAGAUUAGGAGCAUAUUAUUUAAUUGCAUGAAAUACAUUAAUAUAUUAAAGUUAUUAUGGUCAUUUUAUAAAAUUAAGGGAGGUAAGUGUAAUAUUGAAAAUCUCAAAGAUAACAGAUGAAAUUGUCAGAAACCUCAUCAAGGUUUAUGAAAUUAUCCCUUAACUCUUUUGUUUAACUACCAUUGAGUUAAUAAUGAAAAAGCUAAAAAGUACUCUAACUUCUUUACCUUUUUCUUUUUUCUUUACUCAUUUAUUUGUUUUUUCUUUUACAAUUUUGUAAAAAAAAAAUCUAAAAACGUAAAAGAAACUAAUUCUUCUCUUAUAUUAAUUUAAGAAAAAAUCGUUCAAAACGUUUCUUAUAUUUUGUAAAAUAAUUUUUUUAUCCUUCACUUUUAAAAAUAUUAUUUUACGUCCUUUAUAAAUUUACAUUGGUUAAAUUUAAUUCCUAUUUAGGUUUUCGACUAAUUUUUUGUCGGAAUCUACCAUGUACCUUGCACAUGAUCAUUUUUAAGGGGUAAAAUUGUCAAAUUAUAUUUCAUAUAAUUUGAUCCACAGUCUCUUAUAUUUUACAAAAUGAAUUUUUUCAUUCUUCACAUUUUAUAAGAUGAAUUUUUUUAUCUCUCACAUUUCACAAAAAGAAAUUUUUUGUCCCUCAUUGAUCAUGUGUGCGGAAUUUUUUUUUUUGUUCUUGAAAAUCUAUGUAUAUGUCUAUUUGAUUUUACCUCAACAAUACAAAUAGCAUAUAAUAUAUUUUUAUUUGAUUUUACCUCAACAAGCUAGUUGUAGUUGUAGGUAAAAUCAAAUAGAGAUAUAUUACAUGCUAUUUAUACUGUUCAGGUGAAAUCAAAUAGAUAUAUAUAUGGGUUUAAAAAAAAUUAUUCGAACAAAUAAUCAAUGAGGGAUGAAAAAAUUGGUUUUGACAUGUGUACAAAUAAUUUUUUUUCUUAUUUAUGAAAAUUCAUAUAUAUGUUUAUUUGAUUUCAUAUAAACAGUACAAAAAACAUGUAAUAUAUCUCUAUUUGAUUUCACCUGAACAAACUGAUUGGGUAGUAUGGGGGAGGGGGUGUAAAUGAAAGAUCUCAAAUUUGAACCCUCCCGCUUACACUUAAAAAUAAUAGAGAUAUAUUACAUGUUAUUUGUACUAUUCAAGUGAAAUCAAAUGAAUAUAUAUAUAUAUAUAUAUAUAUAUAUAUAUAUAUAUAUAUAUUAAAAAAAGACUAUUUGUAUACAUGAUCAAUGAGAAAUGAAAAAAUUCAUUUUAUAAAAUAUAAUGGAUAGAAAAAUUGAAUUUGUGAAAUGAGAGGGACUAUGAAUCGGAUUACGUGAAAUUUAAUUUGAUAAUUUUAUCCCUAAAAAAUGAUCACAUACAAGGCACGUGAUGUAAUCCAACUAAAAACUAGUCGAAAACCUAGGUAGGGAUCAAAUUUGACCAAUAUAAAUUUGUAAACGGACUUAAAAUUAGAUUUUUAAAAGUGAAGUACGAAAAAAAAUUAUUUUGCAAAAUGUGAAAGACGUUUUGAACGAUUUUUCCUUAAUUUAACUGACUAUUUUGUCUUUUCUAAUAUAUAUGUAUAUAUGUGUGCACACUGCAUUGUAUUACUAUUAGGAUUACGUUUUAUUUCAACUGUACAAUUGGAAUUUUUGUCUUAUUGGCAAAACUUGGAGUCUUUGUGGCUUUUGUCCACUUUUUUCUACUUCUAGAGUUUGUUUGGACAAGCCAAAUUUGGUUUGCAAAAUUUGUUUUCACAAAUCCCAAUCACCUUUUUAUCUUCCCAAUCACCUUUUUAUCUCACAUACAUCACAUCACAAAAAGUGCUACAGUAAAUAUCUCAAAUAAAUCAUCCAAAUAAACUCUUAUCCAAACAAACUCAUUAUAUGCUUGUUAAAGUGGUAAUUGUUUCAAAAUUGUGUUGUUCACUAUUGUAAACUUUUCAUUGGAAGUGGUACGUCUUUAAUACUUUUAUUACAAAAUUUUAGAAAUUGUUUUUGACGAAUUAUAAUUUAUUAAUGACGUCGUAUGAUUUGAGAUGAUUGUGAUUGACAAUCGUCUUGCACCUCUCGCAUUCUCAAUUCAUCAAAUUCUACUGGUGUAAUGCUAAUAAUUAAAAUGACAUUUAACCCUUCAGAGUUUUGGGCAAACUAUGAAAUGAACCCUAAAGUUUAAACAAGUUAUAUUCAAAUCGCUUGAAUGGUUAAAACUUCAGUUUGACAAAUAGUUUCCAGGUGGUAAGGGACAUUAGACAUUCUGCGGAUGCCGAGGGAAAAUGGGUCCAAGAGCCCGAAACUACCUGUUUGCUAUCUAGCCCUGCUACAGAUGAUAUGUAUUAUGGAAAAAACAAUAAUAUUAUUGAUAUAUAUAUAUAUAUAUAUUUAAGUUGAUUAGAAAUUUCGGAUCCUGCGCCUACCAAUUGGAGAUGAAAAGAGUGCAAAUAAGGUUACGCUGUUUGAGCUCAACUACUCGAAUUCGACUCAAGUUAAAAAACUUAAAUUCAAGUUUGAUUUUAUUUUGUCUUAUUCAAAUUCAAAUUCAAACUCGUGCAACGCGCACCCGAUCGAUCAACGAGCUUUCAAAAUUCAUAUAUUAGGUUUGAACUCGAAUUUGCCAAAUAGUUUGGACUGCUCGAACUCGAAUAAUGAAGCUCAAAUUUUGACCAAAUAAUCUCACGAUCUAUUUGAUUGAAUUCUACUUGUUUGCACCAUUAAGUACGAGGAAGGGUGGAAGGGUUAAAAAAAGUUUAUUAAAAAUUUUACCAAUUUAAAGCAAGUAAUGCUAAUUAUAGAGGGGAGGUGGAUGAGUUGGAUGAUACUGAGAUGGAUGAGUUAGCGAUCCGGAUUCAAAACCUCCAAUUUACACGAAAAGAAAAAAAAAACUAAUUAUAGAAAAAGCUAGGCAACUAAAACUAGAUAUAUAGCAAAACAAAAACACACACACACACACACAAAUAGAUACUCCAUGAGCCCAACUAGUUUCAAAAGAUAAUAACAAUUAAGCACAAUAAAAGAGAUGUAAAGGACUCACAUCAAAGGUAAUUAAGUAUUACGCCUCAGUACAAAAUUGUACAAAUUGUUUGCGAUGAAUUACAACUUGUUAUUAUAAAAUAGGGCAAAUUACAUUUUAGCCCCCUGUGGUUUUCGAAAAAACCACAUAACCCCCCCAUCGUUCAAAAAGCUAUACAUAAACCCCCUGUGGUUUGGGUUGAACUGGCAAAUAGACGGAAAGCACCCACCGUAACGAUUCGUGGGCAAAACGCGCCUGUUCUUCUGGUAGCAGUAGGAAACAUACCCAUAUUACCCCUGACCAAUUUGACGUACCCAAUAAAGCCUAGAUGGGUGCUCCUCAUCUCUUUCCAUCUUCCGAAAUACAUUGUUGCUGACUUUGCACUGAAAGUUGGUGAAGGAACCCAAGAUAGAGAACGAAAGAAAAAUAAGAAGAAAUGCCGUGAAGAUAGAAGCUGAACAAACCUGCAAUUUUCGUUCAACUGGUGAGGCAGUGAUGAUAAGGUUUUAGAAAUGACUAUUUUAUAAAUGACUGUUAAGGUUUUAUAAAUGACUGUUUUAGUUCUUGGAUUGCACCUUACCUCCAAAAUUUGGGAAUUUACCCAAAAUUUCCAUUUUCUAAUAUUCCUACAAAUAUGCAAAAUUAUGCAUAUCCCUCAAAUCUACCCAAUAUUAAUGUUUUGUUAAACUCUAAAUAACAAAAAUAUGAAAUAUAUUAUUUAAAUAUAUUUUAGUUACACACAAGUUGGACGGGUAACUAGUGUGUCAGAGAGUUGCCAUAAUCUCCUUAAACCCGCAUGCGGGUUUAAAGAGUAUUCGGAUAUUCUCAUAUGCACCUAUGCAAAUCGAACCAACCGGAUAUCUUAUCCGUAUCCCAUUUUUUAAAAUAAAAAUCUUAUAAAUUUGAAAAAUAAAAUCAAAUUUAGAUGUAUUAGGGUUUUAAAAAUAUUAUAUAAGUGAUAAAAAUUUUAUAAAUUGUAAAAAUAAAAUCAAAUUUAAAUAAUUAAAUGUUAUAUUUGCAUAAGAAAUAAUACAAUAAUCAUAAUAAUGAUAAUACAAUAAUAUUGAUGUAAUAAAACUGCCAUUAAUUUAAAUAUUUACUUAUAAUGCCCAAAGAGCCUAAUUACCAAUUUUUUCUUCUCGCGCUCAAAUAUAACAUUAACCCGCAUGCGAGCUAACCUUGAAAUAGAAAAAACACAGAAUCCCGCUUGCGGGUUUCAACGUUAUUAUGCAGGCGGGAUUUUCUUUACUCCCGAAUGCAAUUUUCUUUACCCUAAUCUUAAUGCAUAAAUUCAAUUCUAGUCGAUAAAAUAUUCUAUGCUUAAAUAUGAUAAUACAGAUUGUCCCAAAGCAGCAAAAUUUUAAAUUAAUCAACGCUUAAGCAAAAUAAUCACUGAUUUAUUAACUUUCCAAUGCCUGAUAGUUUCUGUUCAAAAACCAUGCAAGUGCAUCUUAUAUGCUAAAAUGAUGUCAAAAAACUUACCAGAUGCAACAACAGCUUUCGUGAUGCUCUUUCACAGCUACUUUUUGGUCUUCAAUGGUAGAUCUUUGUGGGUUAAAUUUCUCUCCUUCAUUCGGUGGUCAUGUUUUUCUCUCCUUUUCUCACGACAAAGACAGAACAAGAAAGAAUCUGACUCAUCUGCUUCCUUUUUGUAUUUAUAUUAGGGUAAUUUGGACAUUUUGCCCACGAAUCGUUACGGUGGGUGCUUUCCGUCUAUUUGCCAGUUCAACCCAAACCACAGGGGGUUUAUGUAUAGCUUUUUGAACGAUGGGGGGGUUAUGUGGUUUUUGCGAAAACCACAAGGGGCUAAAAUGUAAUUUGCCCUAUAAAAUAACACGGUUCACGAACCGUAGUACCGUCCUUGCAACAUUCUGUAACUUAAAUACAUGCUAUUACUGAAAAUGAUUGACUCAGAUCAUUCUUCUAUGGCACGUAAUGAAUGCUGCCACUAUUACUCUGUCACAUAGACCUCUAAGACGAAGAGCUUUCAACCAUCUUCACCAUAUUUAGAAGAUCUCAGCCCCUGGUCUGCAAAAUGCUCAUCGUUUCCUUAAGUUGGCUGGAACUGUUUCAUCGGUAAAGUACUCAUCUCUGGCCACCUCUGCUGAGCAAAAUCUCACCUUCAAAACAUAAUUGAUUACUUGGAACUCAGAGUAUGUUAAAAUGGAAGGAUCAUUGAGUUUCUUUUUUUUUGACUUUUUAUAACAAGAGAUUACUUGAAAUUAAAGAGUGGUUUAUGAAAAGACCAUUGGUUCACUGAUUGUUCUAUUCUACACAUUCAUGACACAUCACUGGCAAAAAUAGUGCAGCAAUAUGAAUGAGAAAACUGCUACUCAGAUAAGGUGAAAAUUGAAUUGCACCGCACGUAAGGAGCUAGCAGAUGGAUGCAUCUGAAAUGCACUAUUGCAGUAUGUUAGGCUUUCAGCCUGACUUAAGUUGCAUUACGUGUAAACAGGUAUCGAGUGGAAGCAUCUGAAAGGCAAUAAUGCUGCAGGACCGCAGGCCUGUAUACUCACUUUAAGGUUGGUUAGCCACAAUUUUCGUCUGGAAGUCAUCGAUGGUUAGUCAUCAUAUAUACAGUAGAUUUCAAGUGUAGAUGGAUCCUAAACGUGCUGAAAGAGGUGGCUCGGUAUGUUAUAAUCUUAAUCUACAACUGUAGUUAGCUAUUAACAUAGUAAUAAAAUUCAGGAGCAUGUUCAGAAAAAAGUGAGUUUUUUAGUGAAACAAGUCAAACAACAUGCAUACUGAUUCAGAUCUACAGUUUCAAUUAUGGAAGCAGCAUAUUCAUGGUGCUAAAAGAUUAUUUAUACCAAAAGCAAAAUAAUUUUGCAAACUCAAAAAUUUUUUAAGUAGCCAAAAAUUGCUUACCAAAGAAGCAUAUGAUUUCAACAUGGGCUUGGCCAGCUGCCAAAUCGGCUGAAAUAUGAAAGGAGCAUCAACGAAGAGGACUUCGCUUAGCCUCCUUGGAUAGUAGUAGUAGAAUACAUCAAACUGCCCAAACCAGCAAAUUCAUUAGCAAAUAAAACUGGUUCAAAUGACAAAAGGUGUUGACUACAAAUCAAAGGAGAAAUGAAAUUUAACAGAGCUGUUGUGAACAUAGAAAAGCAUUGGAUGAAUAAACUAAUUUUGGAUCAUGAAAGCACCGACAUAACACAAAUAGUUAAAUAACAUAAACAAAUGAGGGGAAAGAAAAUAUCAAGCAAAAAGAGAGAAAAUAUGGAACAAGAAAUUGUCAAAAUAAUGGGCUAACUUCAUGAACCUCAAAUUAUGAUCCUGAAAAAUACAGAGCUUUGUCUAUUGUUCAACCUCAUUGUAACUCAUGCAAUAUACAGAGCAACAGAAGUUCGGUUGAAAUGAUAGUCUUUGAAAUUACCAAAAAUGUAAGAAACCUGAGAUCUGCAUUUUCUGUACCAAAACCUCGAAGAUCAAUUAUUACAAGUAUCUGUUCCUUCCCAGCUGGAAGCUUACUAAGUGCCUUCUCAACUAGGAAAACACAUAAUUUUUCAUCUUCACGGAAAUCGUGCUUCUGCACCGAAACAUUACAGACCUCAAUUAGAAAAGGCAAGAAAAUAGCAACAGAUACACAAGAAAAAAAAAUUUUAUUUGGCAAUCAAAUAGCAGAAAGUGGAAAAUUAUCUGUAAAUCUACCAUAACUUAAGAAUACAAGCCAAGAUUUGCAUGAAAGCAGCAGUGUAACCCAAUUAGGAAAAAAAAAAGAUUUUGGAGAAUCAAGUGAUCCAUUUUUAAGCAGAAAAUAGUCCGUAAAUUUUGCCAAAAGUUAAGAACACAGCAAACCCUAACAUUAAAGCAACAGAGCAAUCCAAUGAGGAAAUACAGAGUUUGGUGACUUGACGGAUCCAUCUUUAAGCUUUAGUGAAUCUGGAUGUGGUUUUAUGUAUGUAACGUCAACUUAACAUACCAUGUCCACCUCUCCCACCACUAUUACAAAACUUAAUUGAACAAUGAGACUCCUCCCACUUGAAAUUCAAAAAUUACAAACCUAAUACCAUCUAACUGACCAACAUGAGUCAAUUUUAAUAGUUGAUUGUAUGUCCACUGAAUGACGUUGUAUAAGAAGACCUUUUGUGAUAUUAACUAUUGAAGUGGAUCAAUGUUGGUCAAUUAAGCAAAAGCUAUCCAGCAGCAGAGAAGACUGCUUCAUCCAAGUGAUAUAUUUCAUUAGUACCAUUCUGUGACUAGCUGAUAAUAAGUAGAGCACCUUAUGCUUUUCUGCUUUUGAUCAGGAUCAACAUAACUACAAGCACCGUCAGUGUCAUAUUUUCUGCACACUAGUGGGUCUGGCAUAAUCUCAUGUUAUUUCAUACAUGAUUAUUUGAUAAUCUAAACAGCACAUGCAAAGAAUUUUCGACUGAAGCAGUAUCAUCAAAACAAUAUCAUGUACAACUAAUUCUCUUGCUCUCUCUUUCUUAUUUGCUUUCAUAAAAACUGUUGUUUUACUCACAAGCAAAGACCGAGAGCAAAUAAUUGCAGGAUAUGAUUUGCUUUUUCCAUGAAUAGCAGUUUGGCAGCAUCAACUGUUUAAUCAUAAAAAAUCAGAUAAAUGAAGCAUUAGACUUACCCCAGGGAAAUGCUUGGAUGCUUCUACUAUUUGCACCGGUCUGCUGUUGACAUCAAGAUAGUCAUGCACAUAGGCUUUCCCACUUUCAGCUGCUGAUCUUACUGAUUCUUCUGAAAGUUCUGAUACGCCAAAUUCAUGAUACCAUCUCUGGUAAGGUAGAAGGAAUAUUUGAAGGACAGAAUUCAACAACCAUAUGAUAGACAUUCCAUUUUAAAGAAUAAAGCAAGAAUCAUCCCAAGAUACUAAACAUGGCCUCUCAACAAUGAAGCAUCUCAUGCAACACGUAUCAGUAAAGCUAUUCUCCAUCUAGCAUUCUAUUUUUCAACAAUUCAAUUGCAGGGGUGUAAAAUAGUUGAGCUCAAGAGGGAAUGUCUAUCAUAUGUUUUUCAUUCAUCUUACUCAAGUCAAGUAGGCUUGGGUUAACUCAAACUCAAGGCUCAAUGUUCUGUCCAGUAUACUUGAGUUGAGCUUUGAGUAAGCAAAAAAGUAUUGACCUCAAGCUUGAGCUCGAGACUUCGGUCUCUGGUAUUUUAGCUCAAGUUGAGCUCAGCAAUCUUCGACUCAGUUGCAACCCUAUUUAGAGCUUUCAAAGUACUUCUAACCUUCAUUGUGUAAUGAAAAUUCACAGAGCAGAGUAAAAAACAUGAGAACCACACCUAGUAUAAAAAUUAUAAGCAGCAUAGGGAAUAGAGAAUUACUAUGGCUUUUGUCAAUUUGGACACCGCCUCUUCAACAGAAAACCUUCUGUCCUUCAAAAACCAAAGAAUCAGCUCUUCAUCAUCUUUUCCAUUUUUUCCAGCUGGAAGACUGCUACAUUCUUUUUCAAGCUUCUCUUUAACUUCCACCACUAACUACAGCAUUUCAAGUUGACCAGAAGCAUGAGAUUCAUUGAAACAUUCUUGUUGGAAUUACACAUUACAGAACGAAGUCAAGUUACUUAACCUUUAGAAACCAAGAAGAUUCAAAUUUUUGAUUAUCAAGUCGAACUUGCUCAAGAGUAAUUAAACUGAAAAUUAAAAGUUAACCUAACAAACAGAUCCAAAUAGCAGAAAAAGAAAUUUUAACCCAAUUCGCAAGUUUAGAAGGAAAAUUAAAAUUAAAAAAAAACGGCCAGUCCCCAGAAGUACCCAAAAAAACGCCAUCCAAAAAAUAAUAAAAAACAUUGACUGGCCUUCAGUAAUUCAUAGCAGAUAAAGAAAAGGACCCAUCACCCGAAAAGUUCCAAAAAAGAAAAAAAUGGAAAAAAUAUGCAUAUAAUUUUAUAUCCACAAGGGAAGUGAGUAGACCUUUUGGGCAUCUUUUGGGGCCAGAGCACAGUGCCGAACGCCGAGAAGCUUACGAAUUCCAAUGGGUUUACUUGAAAAGAAUGAGGAAUUGAAAUUCUUGAAAUGUUUACCCAGUGGAGGCCGGAGACCCAGUUGGAAUGCCAUUUGAUGUAUGAUUGGGUGAUGCUAAAUUUAAGCGGGGACUACCUUCAUUCCAUAAACUGCAGUGUAUGUGAAGGAGCUGUUUUUCAGAAAGUUUCGUGUACGUUUGGUGUUCGUUUUGGCCUGGUCUGUGUCACACUGUUGACCGAACUGAACUCAACCAAGUCCAAGUGAGCGUAAAACUUGUGGAUUUGACUAUUAAUUUUUAGGGUUAGUUACAUUUACCUCCCUUGAGAUUUAGCCAAAUUACCUAAUAGUCCUUGUAGUUUGGAUAAAUAACAUAUACCUCCCUUGGCAAUAACUAUCUGUUAGCAUCCUACCAUUAGCGAUGGUCAAAUGGCUAAAUUAUCCUCCAUACAAAUGCUUUAAUAAAAAAAUAAAAAAAAUACAAUUCUUGCGCAGCGGAGAAAUUUAAUAAAAAUCAGAAAUCAGAAAAAUCAUUAGAUAAAGGUAAAUAAAGAAAAAAAACAGUUGGAUCUCAUCCAUAAUCUCCUUCCUCUUCAUUCUCAAUUGCUAUCUCUUUUUCUACUGCCAUAAAUGCCCCCACUACGAUCUCCUUUCUUCCCUAUCUCUUUCAUGUACCAUUGAUUUGGUUUUUUAAAACUUUUCUAUUUUCACCUUCAUCUGUAUGCAUCUUCUCCAUUUGAAAACUCAUUAGAAAAAAUUAUCUAUUGGAUUUGUUGCAAAUUUGAAUCUAAUGGCUAAAACACUUGUUCAUGCUCAUACUCUAGAUUGUAUUGUCUAUGAUAUUUGUGGUUGACUUCCUCUAUUUAUUUUAAUAGUUGGGUUGGAUCUAAAAUUGGAGUAUGUUCUUGAUACGCAUUGUGUAUUUAUCGGAUUGAUGAACUUUAGAUGGAAGCUCAUAGGACUGUGGUAGUUUGAAAAGCUUUCUUUUGUCUUAGAAAACAAAAGGAUGGAUAAUACAAAAACAAACUAAAAAGAAAGAAAGGAAACUGGAUUGCAUGCUAGAAGACUAGUUCUUGGAUGUCAUCUCAUCGAUUUUGGUAGUGGUUGACGGUGUCUCGGAUGGCGCCGUCCCAUUGCCACCGCCAUUUCUACGACUUUAAAAUUUUGUAGGUUUAUUUGUUUUCACAUGAACAGUAUUAAUAGUAUGUUCAAGGAGAAAAACUUUUAUUCAAGAAGAAAAAAUUGUUCCAUAUUCCACCAAUUAUGAGUCUAGAACCAAUCAAAGAUUAGUACAAGAAUUAAAAGACAAAUGGAAUCUGAUUCUGUUGACCUAAUUGUAUGUAAAUUAUGCUAAAGCACUUUCAUUAUGCAUGAAGAAAAAUGAAUUCUUAUCUAGGAUGCAUAUGAUUAAUUGAUAUCAAUUUGCUUAUGCUACUUGUAUCUCGUGGUAAUUGAUCCUACCUCCCAGUCAAGGUAAGUAAAGAUUCAAGGUUUCUUUGAAGCUAAUUAAGCGUGUAUUCACUAUAUACAAAAACUAGCCGAUCACGAGUCUCACAUGUCCAAUUCAAACUAGCGCAUUCAUAUAAUUCUCACUAUAUAUACUUGAUGUAAAUAUGUAAAAUUUUAGUGUAAUAGUCAAUUUAGUUGUGCGAGUUAAUAAAUUCAAAUUUGCAUUCAAGUGGUAUGACUGGCGAUUACACCAAAACUGCACAUAUUUAUACCAAAUGUAAUGAGGAUUAAACGAAUUGUUUUCAAUUGCACGCAAAUCAACUUGUGAGGUCCUUGAACCAAAAUUAGUGAGGUUAAAAACAUCAAUUUGCACUAGGUAUUACCUAAUAAUAAUUUUGGAAAGCUGUACUUUGGCCUAAACAAUUUUGGAUCAAGGGUCUCACAAGUGAGUUGUGUGCAAUUCAAAAUGAUUUGUGUAAUCCUUGGUCUAGUCUUCGUUCUAAUUAAUGCAAAAUUUCCAGAUUUUUCUUUGUUCUACGAGCCUUUGGCGAUGAGAGACAUACACGCUGAAUCACACAAACUAUGCUGCAACGAUUUGCUGCUUAGACAUACUGGAUUGCUAGAAGAUUCAUUUAUCCCUCUCCUGCAACAAAUGCCAAACAGUUGUUAUCAAAGACCAGUCUUCUGUUCUUAGCAACAAAUGAACCAGAGCAAGUAUGUGUGCUCCCUCCAUCAUAAUAUUUCCUAUUGCCAAAUCAUACUACCUCAAUAGACUAAUCGCAUUCUUUGGACUUUAUCCCGUAAACAAUGUGAAAAAAUGACAGUUGAAAAACAAAUGCUCUAUAGACUCAUUUCUACAGUCACACAGUCUAUCUUUAGUCAUCAAUCGUUUCUUUUUAGCCAACCAAAGUAUAAAAGCAAACUUUGGAACAUGUAUUUUACCCCAUACCAGAUUUAACCACUUCACUCUAUUCCAAGAAUAGAACAAUUUCUUCACUGUAUUUUUGCAAUGCCAAAAUACAAAACUUUGCUAUCUUUAACUAAGGAAAAUAUUCAGAUGCAUAAAAAAUGGUUAAUUUCUCAUUUUUGAAAUUUAAUCAUUGGCCCCUGUAAAAUUAUUUUAUCUUUUUCAAUUAGAAAUUCUUUUUUUUAUUAAUUAUUAUGUGACAAUGAAGAUUAGAGAGUUUAAAAAAAAAACUAUAUUGCGCCACUAGAAAGCAUAUUUGCAUUGUCAUUCUACAAAAGCCUCAUUAUGCGCAAAAUUAACAUAGCUACGUAUGUUGCAUUCGAGACAUGAUCAGAGGAAGAAUUAAUGGAAUUGAUGAGUGUAAAUUAGCACAGGGACGUAAGCUUCGAAUUGUAGUAGGCUUGUACCUAGUAAUUAUAAUUAUAAAAACUAGCCAAUGUAAGUACCAAUAUGAAGCGUUUUAAGGAAUUUUCAGAGAAAAACUUUCAUUUUUUUUUGUUCCCUUUGCCGCUUAUUAAAAUCUAGCAUUCUAAUAAUGAAGUUUUAAAAUAUUCAUUUUACUACUUGUAUAUCUUGAUAAUUUUAUUGAAUGAUUCAAUAAUUUUACAAACUACCAACUUCAUCUCAAACUCAAUUGAUAACUAAUUGAACUAGGAACAAGAAAUAAUGAUUAGCCUAAUUUACAUAUGGUAUACAUACCCUAUAAUUUAAUGGGUUACUUAGUUAAUUGAGUUUAAUUAUCAAUACAAGUAAAAGAAAAAUUUUAGAACACAUCAUGAAUUAAAUUAUUCAUAAUGCAAAGCAAUAAAUGCACAUAUUAUCCCAAUGAGACCAGCUAUGUAAAACAAAGUAAGUCUAAGAUAAUGGGAUGAAUAAAUAAAAUAAAUAUAAAAAAGAACAAAAAGAAUUUUAAUUUGCUUUUGCAUGUUUUUAGCUCAAUUUUGAUCUAGUUUGUAUCUUGUUUCAUCCUGAAAUGCUCAAUAUCACUAUUCAAAAAUUAAAGGACCAUAAUGAGCUAUAUUCGAAACGUUAGGGACAACAAGUGCAAAGUCAAUUCUGUCAACUAAUGGCCAUUUCAUUUUGAUUGCUUUUUUUUUUUUUUUAUAAUGAUUUUGAUUGUUAAUCACUAUUGAAUUUCUAUCGUCCUAGAUAUAACCAAAAUUAUAAACAAAACUAGAAACUUUGGAGAUCAAAUUUAUUUUAGGUUAAACAUUAAGGACCAGUUUGACAUAUAGACCAAAUAUUGGGGACUAAAAUUGCAAUUCUUCCAAUUUAGCAAUAGGUUAUGUUACUUACUCUUUUGACCAGAGGAUGACUUAAUCAUUCACAACGAUCUUCCAAAGAAUUUAACAAGACUUUUGCCAUACAUUUCAACUUGUGCUGCUGAUGAAAUGAGAAUCCCAGUUCUCCCAUUUCAACAUGUUAUUUAACAAUUUUUCAAGAACUGAUUAACAAGAUUUCUAUGAUGUUAUUGAACCUUUUUUUUUUUCCUGCAGGCGGCAACAUCUCCAGGCCUAUACUGUAGUUUCUGAAACUCUUGAACCAUUUCAAGUUUAGGAGCACAUCCCCAAUUAUAGAUGCUAAAAUAAUGAGAUUCCUAAGAUUCAGUGUAGGCAUGUAGUUCAUAUGGUAAAGUUUGCUUUCAGGACUUGUGUGUUUGUAAAGUAGGUACUAGGAAAGAAUAUGAACAUGAAUCCAAGUAUGUAUUAAGAUGCUCAAGUUUUCUGCAGGCAUAUCACUUUGUACAAUAUUAAUAUAUCCUCAAAUGGGGAAGAAAACAAAAGCUCAUGUCGGAGAUAUAUUUUGGCAUUUUGGAAUCUGAGGUGCACACAAAUUUGUCCGAGAUACCAUAAAGCAAACAUUAAACAAUCCCAAGUUGGAGAUCCUAUGGAACUAAACAAUUCCCCAGUCGCCCAUAUAAUCCCAUGCAAGGAUUUUCAGACCAGAAACUGCUAUCAGUAAAGUAAUUGAUUUUGUCUAGGCACGAUAUGUAUCCUCUGGUUACUGCUAGAUGUGGCAUGUUAAGCGAUUGCUUUGUCCGGCAUUAUGUAAUGGCUUUUUUGGGUAUAACUUGUAUGUCCAGCAGUGGAUAUCAGUACCUUGAGCCAUAGUUUCCAUCAGUUCUUAAAAUUUAAGCUGAGAACACAGUACUCCUAUACUUUUUUAUUAAGAAAGGAGGGGAGAGAUUUGAGGUUAUAAAUUUGUGAUCAUUUCAGGAAUUUCUCCCAGGCCAAAUUUUGUUUUUUACCACAAGACUGGGAAGAUAUGGAUUCCUGAGUAGUAACAACCAGUUAUUCAUCGCAAAUCUCAUGUUAUUCUGAAGAAGAGAUGGAAUGCCCAUUUCCUUCUCUAACAUCAGUAGGACUUCUGAAGCCAUGUGGUACAAAGUUGAACGUUUGAGGGAUCCGCAAAAGCUUCUUGAGGAGAGCCCUGAUACCCCAAAUAAUUCUUGUUGCUCUCAAGCCUUGCUAACUGAUAAGAUUAUGAAAUUAGCGAAAGCACAGCUGGUUCUAUUAAACUCCAAGAAGGCAGAUGUUCUCUCCAGUGGAAAAGGUUGCUUUAGAGGCCAAUGCGGUGUAUCUUCCAAAGUUGCUCAAGACUUGGAACUUGCACUGUUAGUUCAAGCUGCAGCUGAGAAAGUUGAAGAUGAACAGUUAGUUUGUGCCAGAAAAUUGCUGACUAUAUGCGAUGUCUUAGCUUCUAAAACUGGUAAUUCUGUUCAAAAGGUUGUAUUGUAUACUACUUUGCUAAAGCUCUUAACGAGAAGAUUGAUCAAGCGUUGGGGAUAAUUUCAUCAGACAAACUUAAAGGUCAAGAAUGGUUGCCAAUGGCUGAGGAGCUGGAUAAGAAUUUUCUAGAACCUGUGAUCAUGUCAUGUCAACAGGAAGUCCCAUUCUGUCUGGAAACACAAUUCAUAUCAAGUCAAUCCAUACUGGAAGCUGUGACAGCAGCUAAGAAGGUUCAUUUAAUGGAUUUUGAAAUUGAUAAUGGUUCACAGUGGACACUGAUUAUGGAAGCUCUUGCUGUCCAUCAUGAAUGCCCUGUUGAACUUCUCAAGAUUACUGACGUUGGAACCUGUGAAGCAACCAUGGAAAAGAUGGGCAAACGUUUGUCAUCUUCUGCUCAAACCAUUAACUUACCUUUCUCAUUUAAGAUAGUUGUGUCAGACCUCAAGGAUCUCAAGGAAGAAUUCUUCAAUUCAGAGGCUGAUGAAGCUGUGGCAAUUGACUUGCCAUACCGGCUUUGGUCAUUGUUAGCAUGGCCUAAUCAUUUAGAGGCCUUGAUGGCAGUGAUCAAGAGUAUCAAGCCAUGUUUUCUGGUGCUCAAGGAAGUGGAGGUCUAUGCAAAGGCACCAACUUUCCUGGAACGUUUCAAUGAAAAGCUCCUCUUUAUCAGCGGGCCAAUUGAUUCCACAAAUUCUUGUAUGCUGUAUAGAAAACUGGUAGAAGAAGUUCACUGGUGGGGGAUGAUUCGUAAUGUUCUCACAGCUGAAAGUAUAGAGAGGACUCUGAGACAAGAAAGAAUAGGUUUCUGGAGAUUCCUUUUCAAAAAGUUCGGUUUUGUGGAAUCAGAUCUCAACCAAACAUCAAUAUUGCAAGCAAAUUUGUCACUUAAAAGAUCUGAUCAGUGUUAAGGCCUGGUACUUCUGUUAUGGAUGGGAAAUCUCUGAUCUUCGGAUAAAACGAAGCCUCAUUUCAAUCUAUUUCUGCGUGGGAGUUCCCCUCUGAUUAAGAGUUGUAGGAGCUGUGAAGUAUUACUAAUCUUUGCCAGCUGAUUGUGGGUUCUCAGGAACUUACGUCUGCAAUUUUCUUGCCGUGUUCUCUCUUUUUUGCAGUCAGAAAACUAAGCUUUUUUGCCUGAAGCUCGGAUCAAACCAACUGGAACUCUACUCAAGCUUGGUUGAUUAACAGCUGAUACGUAUAUGUAGUGACCUGGGGAACCAAUCAAACGAACUAAUCUAGAGUUUCUAAAUAGAUCACAAGAUCAAUUCAUCAACCUCAAAUUCUAGCUUGGGAGGCAUUCUAAUUUAUAAUUAGACAAUGCCAAGUUGAACUGAAAUAUUUUAUAUAAAGCAUAUUAUUUCUGAUUCAAGUUUGGGAAAUGCUGUAUUGAUAUCUGAAAGUUGCAUAAAGUUUGAUGAAGUUUGACUUGGAUGCUUAGUUAGACAUGAUUGGCCAACUUUAAUGGCGAAGCCUAAAUAUCAAGCAAAUAUGAUUGUUGUUCUAGUCACAAAUAUUGUGAAAUAUGGACGAAGAUGCACCAGGUUGAGUUACAACGGAAACAUGUAAAUAAUAAGAAAAAGCACUGUUUUGGAUCCUUAUGAGGCUGCAAAAAAUGGGGCUCCGUUUGGAUUAGCUGUUUUUUGGGUUGUUUUUAAAAAACAGCACUGUAGCAUUUGUGGAUUUGGAGCCACAUUUCUGCGUGGUUAUGAAUUCUUCAAUGUCUGUAUCCUCAGAUCAACUAUUCUGUAGGAGUUUGGAAACUCAUGUAUUGUCAAGUUAGGCAACUUCAAUUCGGCAAUUUCAGAAAAUUGGAGGGGUGAUUUGUGAUUGUAAAUAAAGACAAGUAUAUGCCAAUAAUUCUACUUCAUCAGUGUAUGUUUUUUAAUUCAUUGUUUCUCGUAAAAGAAAGUAGAUGAUCCUUAAGUAUUGGUAGUUUCUAUUCACACAUCUCAUCUUUGCAAAAUUUUAUGUAUUUGUUUAAUUCAAAACUUACGCUAAGCUAGCGGUUCAUGACUAAAAUCGUACCUUGUAACUCUUUUAUAUAUUGCAGCACAUAUUAUUUAUUAAUUCUCCUUUGGAUUUAUCGAUAAGCCUUUUCAAGUUUCAUAAAUUAUUUAGACAUGGCAAUUUGUUUGGUAUUUAAAUAGCACCAAUCUUUUCAACAAUAGAAAUGUACGGACUAUAUUAAAGCAAUAAAAUUUUAGGGGUCAAAUUGAUACUGACAAAAUAGAUUGAGGACUAAUUAGUCAACAAAAUUUUUUCACAUAAACUGACAGAUGUCUCAAUUUUAUUUUAUUUUUUUUCCCUAACGAUAAUAAAGAUGUCUCAAUUGAUAUCCCCAAAGGAGUGUUCUCCUGCUUCCCCCUUCAGUCUUCAGCCCGUCGAAUAGAGAAAGAGAGACAGAUGGAGAAGCCAAAAUUGUUCCUUUCUUACAUAAUCCUGACAGUAAUGGCGGUGGAUUUAUGUUUGAUAGCUCAAAGCAGGGAAAUUGAGUCACCACAGUACACGGUUGUGCACUCAGAAUCAGAUUUUGAGGUGAGAUUUUACAGGGACUCUGUUUGGAUGAGUGCACCUGCCAAAGAAACCUCCUUUCGGAAAGCCACAAAAGAUGGUUUUCACAGGUACCCUUUUCUUUUUUCCUUUUUAUGUGAUCUUUUUAGAUUUAUUUUGCCACCAUUUUCUAGUUUCCUCAAUUCUUUUUAAAUUUGUGCUGCAGUUACAGUUGACUUUGAUAGAGAAUACUUUUAAUCGUUUUCGCUGUUAUGGUACCGGAAGUAUAUUUUACUACUUUUUUGUUGCUUAAGAUUGUUAUCCACCAUAAAAGGUUGUUGAUUUUGCUGCCCAAUUGUGAAUAAGUAAAAAGUUUUAGCUUCAGGAUUGAUCAAAUAUUUUGUUGCAGUGAUCGAUGUGAUUAGAUACAGUUUGUCAUUUGUAUGUGACUUCAUAUUCUUGAAAAUCUUCAACUGGUGCAAGUGUUCACGUCAAGAAAGAAAAGAAAGAAAAAAAAAAGCUUUUCUUUUCUGAACAUAUAAACAGAGCAAUUUCCGCAAUUUUCGGAAUAGUUUCACUCCUCCCUUCCUAGCCAUGGAUUGAACUUUACUCAUGAAGCAAAAAGAAGAUGCAGCCUACUAUGAGAUUGCUAGAAAACAUGCCUGCUGUGGUGAGGCAAGUGUAGGGAAAAAAAAAUCUAUUGAUUGCCAAUGACUAUAUUUAGAAAGAAUAGUUCCAAUUGAAGUAGAAUUGAUGAGAUGAGAACAUGCACUCGUAGUGCGUACACGUACUGAAACAAUCUUAGUUUUGUUGGUUUUCUUCCCUAAUGAUUUGUUGAUGAAUUUAAUGCUGGGUAUAAGCAAUAUUUUACUUUAGAUUUUAUAAAUCCAAGACCACAAUUGUGGAUGACGAGUUGAGGAGAGCUUAUAGAUAUUUUUGGUAUGUUAAGAGAUAGAGCUAUAGAACACCAAAAGAGGGAUUGUUUUAGUUUCAAAUGUGUGAACAUUUGCUUUACAUGUCUUAAAACAUGCAUGAGAACAUGUAGAUCAAUGCCGUAAUAACUCUAAACUUUUGACAGAAAAAGUUGUAUAUCUUCAUGAGUUAUCGAUUUUCUCGGUUGACUUUUCUAUCUCAAAUAAGUGAUCUCUUGAAUUUAGGCUCUGCAAAAAAUCUGGUGGUUAGAGGCUCCACAGAAGUAUGUCUGUUGAAUAUUGUUUCAAACAAUGGAAGAGUACUUUGAGACUUGAAUGCAUCAAUAAUUUAAUGCCAUUGAGACCUAUGAGUUUGUAGCUCCAGUAAGUCUCAAGCUUAGGUACGUUUUAAGUAUCUCUUUAUUCUGGGUGUUUGCCUUGUAGUAAACCUGUUGGGUGCUAUCUGACACUCCCGCCCCAAAACAAUUAUCUCUUUAUCUGACUUUCCCUCACAUUUAUAAACUGAGACAAUUCUUUCCAUGACCGAUGUGGGAUAAAUCCAACAAUCUCCCCUUUACACGUAGGGCCCUAGGUUAGAUACAAUCAUCAACUUGCUAUCAGAUUGUCAGGUGGAGUUGUUGUAACUAGCUCUUGUACCACUUUGUUGAAAAAAAAGGUACUAGUGUAGCCAACAAGUAUCAGAAUAAACAAAAAAGGGACAAAAUUCUCUUUCUGCAAGUAUUAAUUAAAAGGUGGGAUCAGUCAAAUUGACCAAGUAACAAUUUUAAUAUUAAUAAUAAAGAAGAAAAGUGAAGAAGCACAAGACACGAAGAUUUAAAGUAAAAAUACCUGGUCUAGUAAAGAAUCUCCACUAUGAAAAUAAUGGGAAUACAAAGGUCUAUCUAGGAUAGCCAAGUGGCAGCUACAUCACAAAAGUGGACUUAUUGCAACUCUCUCCCAAAAACCACAAUUGCAAUGGAAUUUGGUUUGGAAGGAUGUUGUCAAACAAAGUGGAAAUUUAAAUUAACCCUAGUAGAUGGGUGAGAGGAUGUGACUUCAUCUCAAACGUGUUUUGUUUUGCCAUCUGAUAUUGAUCCCAAAGUUGCAAGUAUUCCUUUCUCUCUCUAGCUCUUUUUUCCCGUUUGAAUUUCUUGCUCUUUAUCGAUUUCUGGUGCUCUCCGUAGAUACAUUUCUCAAGGGAAAUUGGUUUUGUUUCUAGACUAGUUAAAAAUUGACUAACUUGAGUUUUAGGCUUUAGUUUUCUUUUGGUUCAACCCAAAUGACGAUGGACCCCAAGCCCAGCAAUCUAGUUUUGGGUUCAUCCAAUUUGGUUGUGGAAGGAGUGGGUCUUAGUUUGUAAGUGUGAGGGAAUGCCUCACUGCUUGCGCUAACUUUUGGAAAGGUGUUACCAAAAAUCCAAAAUCUGAACUAAUAGAUGGGUAGAACUCGUUGAGCGGAUCACAUGGCUAAAAUUUCAUUCCGAUUAGGUUUUGUUUCACCAUCCAAUCGAGGUCUUCAAGUUCCAAAAAUCCCCUCCUGUUUUUAGCUCCUUUUUAUACUCACUUUUUCUCUCUUCAUUUGAAUCAGUCACAUGGUUGAUGUUUGAAUAAUUCUUGUGGCUACUUCGUCAAGUGACUAGUCUAGUCACUUGACUUUUCUUCUUUUUUCAAAUCAAACCAUUUACUUCAGAGAAAUUUUAUAAUGGUGUGGACCAACUAUUUGGCAAGCGCAGUAAUUGAUCUUUGACCAAUGUAAUAUUGCCAAUUGGCCAAAUAAGAACCCCACAAGCUUAUUUGGGUUUUAUUUAGAACAGAAUUAAUGGGUUCCGCAAUCUUAUUAGGAGCAUUUUUAUUGGUUUGGGACCAGCUACUAGGCUGGCCAAGUAUUUGGUCAUAGUUAGUCCCGACUGAGGUAAAAUCUCUCAUAGACCUGGACGACGUAAAUUAUAACAGGCUGAACCAAGCCCAAAGACAAACUUAAGCAGUCCCAGUCAAUAUUUGACUUGAGAAAAGAAGAAAAGUGAAGGUGAUUAAUAGUUGAUGAAACAGCUACAAGAAUCAUUCAACUAUUAGUCGUGUGAGUGAUUUAAGCAAAGUGAGAGAAAGUGAAGGUGAAGAGAAAAAAAAACCAGAGAGAAUGGAGUUCUUGAAAUUUGGAAACCUUGAUCAAAUGGUGAAACAAACCCUCAUUCGGAUGAAAUUUUAGUUACGUGAUCCUCUCAACACGGUCUACCUAUCUAUUGGUUCCAAUUUUGAAUUUCUUUUUUGUUUGAUGAUACGCUUCCAAACUGCUUUUUUUCUGGUUGUAGUUUUUCGAAGAUUAGUUUGUAGUAGAUUCAUUUGAUUGAUGUUGUUGUUAUCUAUAGACUUAUUACUGAUAUAAUUGAGAUUUUUUAACUGGACUAGAUCCCACAAAUUUUCAUGAUUGGUGUUUUUCCACAUAAAAAUCUUAGGGUUCGGUGAGGCAAAUUUCUUUGAUUAUUGUUAAAAAAAAUUCAGAAUAAUAGAGUUGGUCAAAAGGCUUUUCUCAAACUAUGUCCCCUGUGUUUUUGAAAAACGAGGAGCCAGAAUUUUUUAAAAAAAAUUUCAUGGCCCUUGAGUUUCUUCGAAGGCCAUCUUUUGCAAAAUACAGGGACCAAUUAAUCAAACUUGUUUACUUUUUUUUUUUUUUUACCUCUUGAAUGCCUAAUAUUCUAAUUAUUUGAAAAAAUUAAAACUGUGUAAUGUUAUCAAAAAAAUAAAUAAAUAAUUUAAAUUAUGCAACUAAUUGUAUUAUUUAGGAUUUAGGGUUUAAAUAUAAAUUAUUCUAACUAUGCAACUUUAAUUAAUUAAAUUUAAGUAAAUAUGAUGGGUAUCUAAUUUAAAUUACAAUAUAAGAAAUAAAAUAGUAGUCUAAGUGUAAAAAGAAUCUUUGUAAGUAUUGUAAAUAAUUGUUAUACUAAAAAAAUAGCAAUAAAAAAAUAAGUACAUAAUUUAUUAAAUUAAAAUAUGUCAAGAAGAAGAUAACAAACUAAUUUAUCAACCUCUGUGUCUUUUGCCCUUGUUUUGAGGCGUUGUGGAGCAGCAAAGUUUCUUAGGCGUCCUUUUGCCGGUGUGGAGGGCAAGGAAAAUCAAUAUGUACUGGUGCAACUGAGAUUAUGUACUCAUUUUUUAAUUGCUACUUUUUUUCGGUAUAACAAUUAUCUACAAUGCUUACAAAAAUUCUUUUUACAUUUAUACUACUAUCUUAUUUUUAUACUAUAUUUAAAUUAGAUGUCCAUGAUAUUUAUUUAAAUUUUUAUUAAUUAAAGUUGCAUAGUUAGAACAAUUUAAAAUUAAACCCUAAACCCUAAAUAAUACGAUUAGUUGCUUUUUUUUUUUUUUUUAGUGUAAGCAGGAGGACUCGAACCCGAGACCUCUUACUUACACUCCCUUCUCCCGUACCACCCAACCCAACCCUCCCCCCCAAUACGAUUAGUUGCUUAAUUUAAAUUAUUUAUUUAUUUUUUGAUAAUGUUACAUAGAUUUUUAAAUAGUUAGAGUAUUAGGUAUUCAAAAGAUAAAACAAAGGUAAAAGGUUUUGCUGAUUGGUUCCUACCGCAUACAGGGACCAUUCGCAAAAGGUAGUCCCCCGAGCUGCCAUGGAAUUAAAAAAAUUUUGGCCCCAUGUGUUUCAAAAACACUGGGGCAUAGUCUGAGAAAGAGCCCUUUGACCGGCUCUACCAUUCUGAAUUUCUUUUUUAAACAAUAAUCACAGAAAUUUGCUGGUUCUGUGCUUAUUUAUUUUUUGGCAUUUUUUAAUUACUAUUGAUAUUGUUGCUUGGUGAAUUUGGUUAUUCCUGUAUUAAUGGGUACUUGGGGAAAGAGAUUUUUAUCCUAGGUUGUGAUUUAUUAUGAUAUCUGUCUACCAGUACCCCUUUCAUGACAAAGUGGUAUGAAACCACGGUUACAACUACUCUUCUCAGUAUGCCUUCAAAUGAAAAUGGUUGACAAUCUAAUCAAACAUGGGGUUAAUGUGUUAUGGGAGAUUGUUGGAUUUAUCUCACAUGAGUUGUAAAAAGGGUAGGGCGUUUGGUUUUAAGUGUAAAGAAAAGUCUCACGUUUUGAGCUAGCUUUUGGGAUGAGAGGACCCAGUAGCACCCAACAACUUAUGGGGUGACUCUUGCUAAAUAUAGGAGACAAACAAUAGCUUGAAACUGCCUGGUAAUGGUUCUGAAUAUACACGGCAGAUGUGCUGUUGCCCUGGUCAACUUCCCACAAUCUUACUUUUUACUCAAUAUUUUUUUGGUAGCAAGAACAUUUUUCGGCCUAUUUUUAGACUGUGUUUCCAUUUUGCUUAGAACAUGAAGUUAUGUUCAAUAACUUCUUGAACAUUUCUAAUAUGUUCAUGCAGCUUUUCUUAUUAUUGGAACCCCUUGCUGAGACAGUGAGACCUUUCCAAUCUUUUCAAUCUUUUAACUAUCAUCCCAAGGGUAAAAGGGAAAGUAAAGAGGAAAAGCUGAUGCUUUGUGUUACUGUUUGCAAUUACUCUGCCCUUGCCUGAUUGUUCUUUUUCCAACGGUUUAAUCUAUACUGUAUAUGUAGCAUUUCUGGAUAUUAGUUAUUUAUUUUGUCAUUGAUGAUUGUGUUCUUAAUUGAUCAAACUGGUUAUUUACAUUGGAGUCUUGACACGUAUGGUUGUGGUGAUUUAGAGUUGAUACUGGUUGUAUUAUGCUUGCAAGACAUUACUGGACUUCAUGAAGAACAUUCUGCUAUUCUUUAACUCUGCUGGUUACUAAAGUACGCUAAAAUAAGUCCUUUAACAUGAGAAUGAACGAGUAAUUGUUGUUUUUUUGAUUCACUGGAUAUUUUGUCCCUAAAUAUUCAUAAAAACCGUAAGCUACAUGAGAAAUUUCUCCAACAGAAAAGGCCUGGAUGCAGAAUAGCUGCUUCUCUAGAGGAGUCUAAUAAUGGGAUUUUCGUCAUAAGAAAGGAACUUUUAGUCUAGUAGGCGUGCAGUGAAUUACAGAUUAAACCAUCCCAGUUCUAAUGUAUCAGGUGCAAGCUGAUAUGAAGUAAAGAAAACUGCAAUAGCGGCUACCCUUGCUGAUUGUGCAGACAGAAUUUGUCUUGCUAGAAUUAACUGAUAUUAUUCUUUCUCUCAACACAUUAUCUGUUCUUGUUGCGUCACAGGUUAUUUCAGUAUAUUCAAGGGGCAAACUUGAACUUCUCUAGGAUCUACAUGACUGCACCUGUCUUGACAAGCGUUGUUCCGGGAGCUGGACCACUUCAUGCAUCAGCAUACUUCGUGAAACUCUAUCUACCUCUCAAGUUUCAAGCCAGCCCACCACUUCCACUUCCUGAACUCAAUCUUGCACCUGAUUCCUGGAGCAGUCACUGUAUCGCUGUAAGGCAGUUCUCAGGAUUCGCCAGGGACAGCAACAUUGUCAAAGAAGCCGAGAAAUUAGCCAUCAGUUUGAGCAGAUCUCAGUGGGCAAAUUCAACUUCCCACAGCGAAUAUGUUUACUCAAUUGCCCAGUACAACAGUCCUUUCCGAAUUAUUGGACGUAAGAAUGAGGUUUGGGUUGAUGUUGCUGGAUCUGAAGCAAAUGGGUGCAAGUCAAGCCUGCUGGCUUCAUACUGACUGCUAAAGAAUUCGAAUCAAGCAUAACCCUUCAUGUUUGUAUUUAAGAUCUGAGACAAGCUGCUGGAACAUUUGCCAUGUACAUACACAAUCCACACCCCAAGAGAUUUCUCACAUAAUGUUAUCCUUGGCUAAAGAAAUGGUAUCGUACUUAUUGGUACUCAAUUUUAUCCUGAUGAGCUUAAAUGCAUGUGAAGCUCUAAUCGAAAAUGAGUGCAUGCCUUUUAGUGAUGAUUACUCGACUCUUCCUUUGUGUGGCUUGUGAAUUUCCAGCCUUGCACCUGCAGAAAUAACCUUAACCUUUUAACUUGACAACUUGAACAAGUUGUCUAUUAUCUCACAAGCCACAAUUAGAAUAUCUGUCCUUGAUACUUCGGAAGAUUCCAGGAUUUUUUUUAUCAAAAUAAUACUAGAGAAAGGUAAUCCUGGAUAAAUUGCCAAAACGUAAUCAUAAAUAAUAAUUGAGGAUACUAUUAAACUCAAUUUUAAUUCAUAAUAGCUCAAGCAUAGAGAGAGCGUCCUCUCAAAUUUAUGGAGAAGCACAUUACUACUAGCUUUUGAAGCAACCUUUUGACGUGGUAUUUUCAUCAAUUACAGGAAUGAAUGAAUCAGUCUAAUACAAACUUAUACAAGAACAGAAACGACUGUAUUUUUAUGUUUUGCUCAUGAGAAAGGCGGCAGCCAAAAAUGAUUUACAGAAAUAGAAGUAUAGAACUUAGGCUGGCUGUCUUUUGGGGCCCAAGUAAGAUGGCAAACAUCCCCUAGUGGAGGAAGUUCCCCUGUUAGGCAUAGGCAGUUUAAUGUGACUAUGAUGAACAAUUAAAAGAAGAAAUGAAAGUAAUGCAAACAGAAGAAAAGAGGAUGAUAUCCUCUCAUUCCAUUUCAGGGUUAAAAAUCCUUUUUGAGAUUCAGAAGUGCUACGCCACAGGUAGUCUCCCUCAAUGAGUGCAGCUCCCAAGGUCCAAGAAAUAUCUCCAGGACCAAAGGUUAUCUCUGCAUUUCUAAGACACAAAGCAUCUUCAAAAAGUGAUGCCAUAUAAGACAAAUGGAAACAAUCUUGUGCAGAGGUGCUUCU